rnacentral:lncRNA from 1 species
AUGUUAAAAAUACGUGUCACCCAUCUUUUAAAACUACAAUUAUGGUCUACCCCAUAAAUUAUGAAUUGAGAUUUUCUAUCUCAUUUAUGUAUGUCCAAUUUAUUAUUACUUAUGAUUUUGACAAAUUUAUAUAAAAUUAAUUUUUAAAUUAACAGUGUUACAUAUUAUAGUAUUUGAUUUAUUAAGAAUAGAACGAUAAAAUUAUUUUGCCACGUAUGGUUUAUGAUAAUAAAUUAGAAGAGAGGUCGAAUAAAACUCUUAAAUUCAAUACUCUUUAGAGUGUAUUGGUGAAUUAGUUAUUGGAUAAUAAUAAAUAGAAUAAAAAGCUUCUAUAUCAUGAAAUAUAUUUUUGAGAUAAUUUUCAAGUUAUCUUUUUAUUUUUAUUUUACUUUAAAAACCAACUCACAAAUAUACCUCUAAAAAUAAGUACGAAACCAUUAUUUAAUACUUGGACAUUGUAUUGGUAACUAAAGCAUAGUCAGCUCUAGCCUAGGUGACCUAAUAUUGGUGUAAUCACAGUUUCUCAACAUUAAUAAUUUUAAUUUUACAUCAACUAAUGCAAUACAAUCAUCACUAUAAUCAACAAAAUAUUAAACAAAAUUAUAUGUACAGUGUGAUAAUUAAUAACAAACAAUAAUUUCAAAAUGAAAUUGAAUGAAUUUUUUAAUAUAAAAUAAAGACCUAAAAAAAUGGUAGUAUAGGUAAAACAAUUAAUAAGGUCUCACUUAGUUAGUUCCUUUUCAGCCCACUUGAUGUACUAAAUGGUGGGGGAAUGGGUGAGUCGGAGAAGAUGAGUGAGUAAAUGAGAGAGGAUAAGUAUUAAAGAUAUAUGAUAUGUUAUUUUGGAAGAUGAUAGUUAGUUAGAAAGUUAGGAAUUAGCAAGUUAUGUUUAUGUUAAUUAUUUGCUUUACAAGCUUUCUUUUCAUUCUUUUCUCUUGUAUAAAUAAGUCAUAUUGACUCACUUUUUAUUCAAUUAAUUCAAUUCAUUCAAUGAUAAUAUUAUAAAUCUUUCUUUCUCAUUCUUCUUUCUUUAAGCUUUCUUUUAUACACAUCUUGAUUCAUCAAGAAGCUUUCUUUUCAUGGUUUUUACCACAUUUUAACAUGAUAUCAGAGCGUAAAUAUUCAAUCGCUUCCGCUUAUGCUUUUAUCAUUCCAAGAUUCAAGAAAGAAUCAUCAUCAUGCAUCAAUCAUCAAACUGAGGAAUCUUGCAUAUGGCUAAGGAUGGUGAUGAUCAUAGCGUAAAUUAAUGGGGUAUAGGUGGACUACCUUGUUGAAGUAGUGCAACUUCUUUUUCAUCCUCUUUAAUCACCAUUGUUGACUCCUCAAAACCAUCAAGAAGGCCAUCAAGAAUACUCAUUAUUCUCUCAAACUGUACCAUUAAUGCUCUGUUCUUCUUCUUUCAAAUGCACAGAUUCAUCAUUGAUCUUCACCCGAGACCUGGUUGCUUAUGUUCAAUGAGGUCUUUUACAAGGAAAAUGCUUCUGAUUAUGGCUCCAUCAUUCCAAGAUUCAACAUUUAUCAUCAUUCAUCAUCAAUUUAUCAUAUACAAGAUUACAUCAUUUGUUUAUUCUUCAUCAUUUACCCAUCUUUCUUAUUCAUCAUAGAAGCAUCUCAUUAGGAUCAAGAUUAUGAUCUGUUCUCCCUCUUUCAUCAUCAAUGGUUAGUUCGCUUCUGUCCAUGAUGGUUAAGUUCAGACAUAACUUCUGUCAUGGAUGGUUAAGCAUUGGAUGGGUAGCUUCUGCCCAUAGUGGUUAAGCAAAGAUAUAGUUUCUACUAUGGAUGGUUAAGCGUUUGAUGAUAUAGUUUCUGCCAUAGGUGGUUAAGCGUCUGAUGAUAUAACUUCUGUCAUAGGUGGUUAAGCGUUAUUAUUACUUCAAAUCAAUUCCAAGCUGGAGAGUGAAAAUUUUCACUCACCAGCUUGAGGGGGGAUAUUAAAGAUAUAUGAUAGGUUAUUUUGGAAGAUGAUAGUUGGUUAGAAAUUUAGGAAUUAACAAGUUAUGUUUAUGUUAAUUACUUGCUUUACAAGCUUUCUUUUCAUUCUUUUCUCUUCUAUAAAUAAGUCAUAUUGACUCACUUCUUAUUCAAUCAAUUCAAUUCAUUCAAUCAGGGGCGGAGCUAUGAAGGGACAGGAGAGGGCAGCUGCCCCUGGAUUUUUUUAUUUUAUUUUUUGAAUACUUUUUUUUACUAUUUUCUUAUGGGGAUAUAUUUGUUGUCUCAAAAAGUGUGUCACUUCAUGUAUCAUUUGGCCUAAAAAAUACUUAAAUAUUAAACUUUUAAAUUAUAAAAUGUGACACAUAGAGUAUUACAUACUUUUUGGAGCAGAUGUACUCCCUUUACCUAUACCUGACUAACGUCUUUAUGGACAUACUUCGAGUUCACAUAUUUAUUUAAUUUGUAGCUUGAUAAAUAAAUAUAGUACAACUUGUGUGGUUCUUUUAAAAAUUAUAUAUAAUUGAUCAAGUUCUCUUAUACAUUUAGAUGUUGAUGUUGUUUAUAACAAUAUAACUUCAUUUGAGUUCAUAAUGAUCUUACACUUGAUGAAAGAUAUUAUGUGUGUAUUAAAAUAUAUUCUAAGGAUACUUAUAAGUCAUUUAAUAUUGAUAAUAUAUAUAUUUUUUGUCCAAAUUUUUUAUCCAACGAAUUUUAAUGAGCAAUGAAGAUUAGUUUAAAAUCUCAAUAUCGAUAUUUUAUUUCUGGUGUCGUUAGCCAAUCAAGUUUGAUAAAAUUUCUAUCAUAUGUCGUUAGUCAUAUCUUGCAUUAUCAAAUAAUUCGUCUUAUUUUAUCAAUUGUGAUUUUUAACAUAUAUCGUUAGUCAUAUAUUGAAUUAUCAAGUAGUUCAUCUUGUUUUAUCUUGUAAAGACUAUAUUGAUUUAUAUUUUAAAGGAAAUAGUUAAAAUUUUAUCUUUGGCGUCCCUGUAUAUAUUUUUGUUAUUCAAUUAAUUUUAAUUAUAAAUUGUAAUUAAAUAUCAUCGCCUCUCCUAAAAUUUUGAUCAAGAUCCGUCACUGCAUUCAAUGAUAAUAUUAUCAAUCUUUGUUUCUCAUUCUUUUUUUUAAGCUUUCUUUUAUACACUUCCUGAUUCAUCAAUGAUUGUAAGUGAUUUUAAGAUAGUGAGAAUUGGGUUUUAGAGGGGGUGGGGGGUAGAUUUGAAAAUUUCAAAGAGGGAUGGGAUGUGUAUUUUCCAUUAAUACAAAUCAACAAUUUCUUGCAUAUUCACAUUUUAAUGUUGAAAUAGAAGUGGAUGCCUCAAAAGUAAAUAUAUUCCCUCCAUAUUUUCUGUCGAUUUCAAACAAUUUUAUAGCUAAACUUAAAUUUAACGUUUUAUUAUAUAGAUAAAUUAUUCAAUAUGCUAGAUCCUCUCUUUUAUUAAAGAAAUGGGAGGGUCUGAACUCUUAUAUUAUUUUAAUUUUGUAUCCUUUUGAGGUUGCUUAAUUGAACCCCACCCUACGUAUCAAACCCACUGUUUUCAGUGGAUUAUUCGAACACUAUAUGAAUGUGUCCAUAACAAAGUUAGUGAUAAUAAAUACAUUUAAUUUAUGGAACUUGUUCUUUUAAAUCUGAAUUAAUCCCAUUAAUUUUAAAUAAAAGAUAUCCCUCAUAAUACACUUUUUCAUUUUUUCUCCGCCAAAUUUUUUGUGUACUCAUCAUAAAAAAUCAUUUUUGAUAAAAAAAGUAUGAACUCUGAGCUAAUCUAACUCGUUCUAUAUUUAACUGAUGAGAAGUAUGGAUUAGAUGAGCCACAUUAAAAUCAAUUCAAAAUUUUUAUGAGUCAAUAUAUAACGAGCUGAAUUUGAGCUUAUGAUAAGAUCGACUAGCUCGCACAUCAAAUCAUAUCUUGACAUCUCUGGUGAAGAUACAACUACACCAACAAGGUACCCACUUCCCCACCACCUUUCCUAGUAAGGUACAUCUUAGAACAAACUACCCUACCACAUUGACUAGUCACUUCAUUGCUAGUGUGCUAAACUCUACUUGAUAUGGGAUUUUAUUUAAAGCAAACCUUGAACGCUUUAAGUGUUUUCAAUGCUCUUUUUAGAACAUUCAUUCCAUAUUUUAACCAUAUCUUCAAUGCAAAUGUCUUAUAAAAUUAUUUUUUGGAUAAUAAAUCUACUUAAAAAGUUAGAAAUCCGUUAUCCCAGGAUCAAAAGCAAAAAUAGAUGAAGUUAUUUUGAAAGUAUAAUUAAACUUAUGGUAUUAUUUAACAAUUAGAAGAAGUAUGGUAAAAAUACAAUCUUGUCAAAAAUACAAUAAACCAAUACUUACUUCAUUAAUUUUGGUAUAUAUUGAAUAUUAGUUUUUCUUUUAUAAUUACAUGUGUCCCAUUUAUUAAAGUAACCAACAGUUAAUUGAGUAUGUCUAUAAUACUUAUGGAUCUCAUCGUGUUUGCUGCUAAAUAUAAGUUUCCAUUAAUGUGUCUUCAUUAUGUUCAACAAUUGGCUAAGAGAAUCAAUAAUUAACUGAUGUGCAUAACAUCCGAGAAAAAUCACUCCUACAAAAAUUGCUAAAAUAUACUUUUUCAUCAUUCAUCUAUGUUGAAAACUUUUCAAAAAUAGGAAUGAGGGUGGUGGACUCGAAAAAAUUGAGGGUCGAAAAACGUAUUCAAGCCUAAUUAAAAUCAAUGAUGAAAAAUUAAGUAAAAUAGACAAUACAACUAGAAAUUAACAAACUAGUUAUGUUUUGUGGGAAAAAAAUACAUGUUUUAUAUAUAUAUAUAUAUAUAUAUAUCUUAUAUAUUAUCAUCGCAUCAUCUACGAUUAAUAUAUAAUUAUUAUUCACACUUCAAAAAAAUUAAUUCAAAUAAAUUGCAGAUGAUGUAAUGAUUAUGUAUUAAUUUUUAUACUAAAAGUGCAUAUACACUACACAAAACAAAACGAACAAGUAAAAAAAUUAAAAAAUAAUUGUUUUACCUAAGCAUUGAUGAACAACUAGCAAAUUAUUCGUGCAUUCGCACGAGACAAUAUUUUUGCUGGAUAAUCAUAUUAUAUGUACAUUUACAUGGUGAAGAAUACACAUGUUACUCGUGCAUUUGUUAAAAAUAGAUAUGUUACAUGUGCACUCUAUUAUUAAGAACAUACAUGUGAACCGUGCAAUCGCAUGGUUAAAAACACAUAUGUUAGUCGUACAUUCAUAUUAUGAAGAAAACAUAUGUUGCUCGUAUAUUCGCACAGUUAAAACACACAUGUUACAUAUUAUCUGUAUAUUUACAUUGUUAAGAACAUAAGUGUUACCUAUGUGUUUGCAUGUUCAAACACAUAAGAGAAAUAAAUGACAAUUUCGAAUUUGAAUUUCUAAUGAAAAUAUGAGACUGAAACAUGAUUCUAUGUGAUUUUUUUUAAAUAAAAUAUUUUAAAAGUUGUAGAGAAUGAAAUUAUUUUUUCAAUUUCAUAUAUGAUAAUAGAAAAAUCAAAUUGUGAUACCAUAUAGGUCUUUUCUUGUUAAAAAUAUAUUUACAAGUUAUAAAAACUUCAUUUUCGAAUUUGAUUUUUUAGUUAUAAUAGAGAAAAAAUAAAAUUCAAAGAAUUUGAACUAUGAUAUUAAAAUUCAAUCAAAAAAGUAUCACAAAACUUCGAUAAGUGAAAAGUACAAUAAUUCUUAGACUAAUAUGAAACAUUAAAUAAUAUAGAUAGAUUAAUGCAAACAAAUAGUCUGGAUGUAAAAAAAGAUUUUAAUCUCAUCUAAUGUUCAAUAAUUAUUACUUUUUAACGUAACAAAACAUAUGAGCCAAUCACUAAUUAGCAUUAAAUUAUUAAAAUACAAUAUGUAUAAAAAUAAGGAUGUAAUGUGAGAAAGUACAUAGUAGUAGAUAGAACCUUUUAGGAGGAAAAAAGACUAGAAGGAAGGUCAUAUUAAUAGGGAUGGAGAUCGCUUGUCCCAAAUGGUGUUUCACUCCAUGUCCUAAGUCAAUCAGAAUGCUCUAUUUUAUUACUUUUUGCUUUUAAAUUUUUUAUUUUAUCAAUAUGUUAAUAUAUGAUUGUCUAGAAAUAAGAAAUGAGACAAUGUUAAAAUGAGAUGAUUCUCAUCCAUACUAAUAGUCUACAACGAUAGUAUGUUGCUAAAUGCUACUUGUUGUCAUCGAAAGAAAAAAAAGCAAUGUCAAUUGCUUCAAUAAUCCUGAAAACUAACAAUGAAACUAAUCAAUCCAUAAUGGCUUUCACGCAUUAAUCAAUCUAGUCCCAAACCAAACUAUUAGACAUGCGUGCAUUGGGCGUGAUGACCCCACAAGCUUGCAUUUGUUGUACUUACUUGAGUGUUAAUGAGAAAAAACUUUUUCAUCCCUAUUCAUACUUAGUAGAAUUCACUUUUUUCACAUGUUAAACACAUACUCAACUAACCUUAUUCCCUUAACGGGUAGUUUAUAAAAAAAGUGACACAUUUAACCAUAUGUUACUUUAUAAUUUUGUUAAAUUUAUCAUACUCUAAAUCAAUCUCAUACUUAUACCUAUAUUGUAAAGAUUUAUCAUCUAUUAUUCAUUUGAUUUUUUUUAAUAAUCAAUAUGAUUAGAUAUGAAUGAUAUAAUAAUAAUGUAUAAAACUCAUAUAUUGUUGGUACAUACAUUUUUUCGCGGUUUAUAAAAAUAUGACACAUGUAAGUAUAUGUUCCAUUAUAAUUUAUUAAAUUUAUCAUAUUUUAAAUCAAUAUGCUAUAUACAUAUAUAUUUAUAUUUGUAACUUCAUCUUAUAAUAAAAAGAGUGUAAUAUUUAUAUAUAAUCAAUACAUCACCUACAGUUUAUUUGUAUUACUUUUUAAAGAGUCAAUAAUAAUUAAACAUAAAUAAUAGAAGUAGAAGUGACAAAGUACAAAACUCAUACUCAUUCGGUACAUAUUUUUCUCUCCCUUUAUAGUUUUUUAAGAGUAAAUAGUAAUGAAACAUAAAUGAAUAAUAAUACAAUAAAAACAUAUAAAGCUCAUACAAAUGCAUUUUUUCUAAAGAAAAAGAAUUUUUUUUGAACAUAACCUCCUUCCUUAGGCAAAGAAGGGAAGAUCCAAAUCCAAUAACCCAAAAACACUAAACCCGUUCAACCUCUAUUUGUUCCCUCACUCCUUCUCUUCAUAUAUAAACUUGUAUACGUUUCCCGGCCACUUUCCCAAACACAAACCUUUCAUGUGAUUCACUAUUCUCACUUUUUCCCUCACAAUUCCUUCACCUCUAUUUCCUUCUCUUUUCUCUCUUUCUUCUCUUCCCUCCAUUUUCUCUCUUUCUUUCUUCCCUUCUUCUUCAGGUAAAUGGUGUUGUUGGGUUUUGCCGAAGACAGAGUUCCGAUUCCGGUGCCGGCGUACAUGGCCACCACUCCCAAGAGAUCAAAUCGUCUUCACAAUUUCACGUUACCUUCUUCUUUGAAGUGGGGCAGCCAGAGGUAUCUGCGGUGCGCUAACUCUUCCGCCGCCGCGCACGCCGAAGCCGAAGCUUCCGGAAGCAGAGAUCGCCGAUCCCCUGCGUCGUGGUCCGACGACUCCACCGCGAACUGGAUGAUGGAAUUUAAGACGGAGAGGAACGUUAGGAGUUCGAGGAUGCGGAAACCGCGAAUUGACGGCGGCGACGGCGAUAACGAUGAAGGGAUCGACGCGGUGAGGAAGAAGCUCGUGCUUGAUCUGAAGACCGCUGCGGAGAAAAUGAAAGACGAGAUUUUGAGGAAGGAGGUGGAGGAUGAAGAAAAAGAAGAAGAGCGGGAAUCUUCACCGCCGCCACCGCCAGCGGAGCAAGCGAGGCCGUGGAACCUUAGGACGAGGCGGCGGGAAGAGAUUAAACCGUUUUUCUCUGCCGUAGGUAACGGAAAAAGAUUGAAGAUUGAAGAGAAGAAACCGAAUUCUUCAUCGCCACUGAGAAAUAACACUAACUGUAACGGUAACGGUAACAGUGGUGGUGCGGUGAAGCUUCCAAAGUUGAGAAGCAAUUGUGAAAAGACAAAGCAAAGGGAGAAAUUUUCAGUGCAGUUAUCAAAGAAGGAGAUUGAAGAAGAUUUUGCUGCGAUGGUGGGUCGCCGGCCGCCUCGCAGGCCUAUCAAGAGGCCCAGAGAUGUUCAGAGACAAAUGGAUGUGAGUUUAAUUUCUUUGCAUUUGAUUGAUUCUGUGUUUUUUUAAUAAACUAUGCAAAAUCUAACACAUGAGAAAAUUUGAUUUUUUUUGGUGCAGACCCUUUUUCCUGGAUUGUGGUUAACAGAAGUUACAGCUGAUUUGUAUAAAGUUACUGAAGCAUCUGAGAAUGGUGGAGGGAAAGUGCGUAAGGGGAAGGGAAAAAUGCAUCUCUCUGAGUCUGAUGAUGAAGAAUGAAGAAUCUUGAUGGAUAGGUUUUAUUUUGCAAUGGUACAUAUGGAUUAAGCUUCUGUUGCUUUUCACAGUUCAAUUCAUUCUUUUUGUUCAUGAGAAUAAUAAUAUUGUAGUUUGGUGACUGUUUACUUUGCUUAUAAAGUUCUGUGCCUUAUUGACACACCUCAAAUGUCACAGUUUUAAGCUUUCAUUUCUUUCACUAUAUGCAGAAUUUGUAGUCUAGUUACUUAUUUCUGAGUUAGUAUUGGUUAGGUUUGUUUGAAUUUGACUUUUUGAACUUCUGCAUAGUGCUUAUGAAUUGCAUUGGACACCAGGCGUGCAAGUUUUAAAUUGCGGGUGUGGUUCCAUCUCGGUUUUGGUCGAUUUAUCACAAUUGUGGGGACUAUCAAAAUGGCAGUAGUGCAAUCACAAUUGCAGGUUUGCAGUUCAAGUUAAAACUGUCACAAUUUGUGUUCCUUUUACUGCUUUUUUCAUUUUGCCUCCAAAAUCUCCUGCUAGAUGCUCAGUUUCUUCAUAACUGGUACUGGUUUUGCACAUAAGAGGAGCUCAACCCCUCAUAUAGUGAAAUAUGACAGAGUUUGUAUAGUAUUAGACUAUUUCUUCUGUGGGAAAGACUGUUUGCUGAACUAUAAAUAUGAUGACAGAUCUUUCAAUAAUCUACUUCCUUUAACAAUUUCCCAUGGUCAAUAUCACGUACAUUUUGAAGAUGUUAUACUUUGGAUAAGUGUUCAAGUUGGUCUUUGAAUACCUCUUCUAAAGUAUUGUUGAUGUUUUGUAAUUUAUUAGCAAUUUCACAUGUUCAAUUCCUGCACAUUUUGAAUGCACAAACAUCUUGAAGUUGAACAAACAGCUAAACCAUUUCCACCAAGUUAAGUUCCUGGAUACUUUGGAUUUGACACUGUAUUUUCUAACAAUCACUUAUGGUCUAAGAGCCAAACAAUAAUCUAAGUUUGAUGUGCCAAAUCCAUAUACUGUGGAACAAAACUGCAAUAGUAGGAUAGAAGGACAAAGAUGAUCAACAAAUAGUACCAAUCAUUAUAUCCAUCAUAAAGGUACUUUUAUUUUUAAUACUAGAUGUUAUGGACUAUAUAAUCCCAAAGUGAAACAGCUAUAAUAUAGUGCAACGUGAUAAACUUAGCUUUCUGAACUAUUGAAAUAGUAGAUAUCACAUUUUCUUGAGGAAACUAUUCUUUUGUGCUUGGGUUUUUGUUUUCCAUAAUAAUUUUAACUAUAUAAUAUCCUUAGGAUUCAAGUGAUUCAUAUUUGAUGUUUGGAGAUUAAUGUAUGUGAUUGAAGGUGUUUUAAAUUUGAUUGUAUUUUACUAGGAUGACUUUUUGGUGGAGUUUUUAAUAUGAGAAGUCACUUUUCUUAUGUGUGCUGAUUGCAUCUUCAACAAAUCACUAAAAUUGUGUCGGAAUUUGUUUGCAAUUUAGAUUUUGGAGGGAAAGAAAGUUUGAGAGUUAUAAAAUAUACUUAUAACAUGAAUGAAAUUUUCAUUUCCUUCAUCGCUAAAACUCAACUCGUAAAGAACGCUUGCUAAUAUACGACUGACAUGUAGAAUUAAAAUGCUUAUCUAGUUAUGUUUAAUAAUUAAUAAGAAAAAAUAAUAUACCUUUCUCAAAAGUGAUUGGGUUGAGGCUUUAGACAAAUUUGAUCCGUGGUUAAGAAUUCCAAUUUUGGAGUCUAAACAUUUGGAAGAGCUUUAUCAAAUUGUGACUUCAUUUGAGGAGUCUUGGUCUAUAUCUAUGAAGAUACAUGGUCGAAGGCAAAAAAAGAAACAAAGAAAUUUAAAAAGUAAAUACCUUAAAGGGCUUAAACUUAUGAUAAGUUUGCAAAUUAUUUUUUGAAAAUUAUUGAUAAAAUUAAUUACAACUUUUUGAAACAAUAUUAGACUCUUUUGGCAUUACAUUUAUGAAUUUCUAGCAUUUAACCUAUAAUUUCUUUCUUUUAUUUAUGAGAAGUUUGCAUCUUGGAAUCUUACUAUAAUUUCAUUACCAUAAAUUAUUAAUAUCUUAAAAUGAUUUUUGUAUAUGUAUGAUAUUAAAAAUAAUUUUAGUUAUUUAUAAGAUUCUUUUGAGGUUUUGUUUUGAUCAUAUUUACAACAUCUUUUUCAAAAUUCUACGAACAAUAAUAGAUGAAUUUGUUACCAAAAUAUUUCAUUUAUUCAAACAGUUUCAAUGAAAAAAUAAAAUAGUUUAAUUCUAGAUGUCAGUUUUGGUAAAAGUGAUAUAAAAGUUAACAAAUUUAAUAAUGGUUUUAUUUUUCUUGAUCCAUAUGAAAUUAUCCAAAAUGGUCAUAAAAAGGACUAGAGGUAAUAUUAUUUAUGAGAAUAGAUAUAUAUUGAUACCAUGAAAGAUUUUAUUAUAUAUUGAUCCACACUUUAUAUUUAAUUAUAAUUAACUUUUAAAUAUGAACAAUACAAAUUAAUGAUAAAUGAUAUCAUUAAUGUAUAUAAAUCUUUACAAUCAUAGUGUAUAAAUGUUACAUUAAUUCUUUAUACCUAUAAGUUUACAUUUUUAUAUGAUAUUUUAAUUUCUUAUUCAAUUUUUGUGUUUCAAUUACUUAAAGGAGAUUAGAUUUAAACCCUUAAUUACUAGUUUUAAACCACAACUUUACAUACAUUACCUUCUUUCGUCCAUGUAAGCAAGGUUACAUGUUUUUUUUGUUGGAAAAAUUGAGUCCAACUCCUCUCCAGUACUGGAGAGUCCAGUACUGGAUUUUAAGGAGAAACAAUAAAUAUAAUUUAUUUUAUUAAAAAAUGAGUUAAAAUUAGAACUGUUAGAUUUUUAUUUUUGCCACGUGUCAUGAUCUUAACAUGGUAAUGGACUCUCCAGUAAUGGAGAGGAUCCAAAUUCGGAAAAAGUACACUAACUUCGGUUAAAUGCACAUAGAUAGAUUACAAAUGAGAUGGAAUUUAAAACUAAAAAUGCAGGAUUAAAUAUAAACUCCCUUAUUUAAUCUUACAGGAAUCGCUAAUGCGAUAACCCAGCCCAAAGAACCACUGCAUAUUUAUUUGGUUUGGGUUUUAUACUUUUAGAACUCUGUUAUGGCCCAUUACCACCUGUGUUCGAUCCUAUCAAAGCCCAACACCGGACAUAAUAUCAAAUUCGAGGAUGUUUAAAAUUUUGGUACCCUAGUAUACAAAUUCAAGUACGAUCAUACAGAGAAAACAUUAAUUCAGGCUUUACAAUCAUACAUAAAUAUAGUUUAUGAUUAAAAAUUAGUUAUUGAGAUAUAAUUAAUUAUUUUAAUCUUAAUUGUUUAAGUUAGAUCUGAUUGUCGAUAUUGACUAUUUUUAUUUCUCACGAUAAUAAUUGCUUUUACCUAAAUCAUUUUCUAUAUAUAGGAUAUAACUUUUUUUAUAAAGACAGUGUAUAAAUAUUACACUCAUACAUAACGAAGACGAAAAAGAUAGAGUUGCAAAAAGAAAAGAACAAUAUCUAAGAUCUGAAUCAUAUCUAUUAAAUGAAUAUAACUCACUUUUUUUAUCUUAAAGUUAAUUUCGUUCCUUGUAAUAUAGAUUGACCACACAAUAGCAAGUCAUAAUAUUCUCCACAAAUUAAUACAUUUAGAACAAUUAAAAGAAUCAUGGAGAUUAAAAAAUUAUGAUAAUCGAAUAAACCUGCAUUUAUUUGUAACUAAGAAAAAAUCAUUUCCACAUAGCUGAAGCAUGUGAUGUGCUUAUCUUUGGAGGAAACUCAAGUUUUGGUGUGAAAUGAAGUAUGGUUUCUAAGCUAAUUUGGCCCAGUCAGUUUUGCAAAUAUGGUCACCCCAGAGUUGCCAAUUUGACUAAUGCAUUAGAUUCCAAGGCAUUCAGUGGAUAUUUUACCAAUAAUUGAAUAUAAUUUUUGAUAAAAGCUGAUUUGCAUUACAUAGCUAAAUAGUCUAUAAUCUGAUACAUUAUAAGUUAGGUAAUAGGCUUUUGAUAGAUUCUACUCCGGGUGCAAGCACAUGGAUUAAACUGCCUAAGUUAAGGCAAAGUGUUUUUGGAUAAAAGUCAUAAAACCACAGCGUGAUAAAGCAUUUUUCUAAUGACUCGUUGUAAGUUCAUUUUGGAACCCAAUUACAAAAGUUCAGGUGUGUUAAAAUGGUAGGAGAUAUGCUUGAAUCUUUUUGAUGAAACAAGAAAGAUGAGAAAAGAGAAUGAGAAAGAAAGCUUAAAGAAUUGAUAUUUCUCAUUACUGAAAAUGAGUGAAUUGAAUUACUAACUAGUUAAUCGAUUAAUUAAACUCUUAAUCGAUUGACGAAAAUAAUAUUACAACUAACAAACCGAAAUCAACUAACAACUUUAACAUCCCCUCAAGUCAGAAUGUGUCAAGCAUUCCAAGCUUGAAAUAAUUGUGCUGAACAUCACACAUACUCUAAUACCUCUUUUUGCUGGUGAGCGAAUAUUCGUCUCUCAGUCUUGAAAUCUGAACGUGAAGCAAUACUGACGCUUAACCACCAUUUGGCAGAAGCAAUUUCAUCCAACGCUUAAUCAUCUUUUUGAAAGAAGCAAACCAAUCAUAACAGAUGAAAAAAAGAAAUGAGAUGUACCUUAAUCUUGAUCACUAUAUGUUGUGUUGUAGCGGAAGACACAUGGAGAAAUUUAAAUAGAGAAAAUGACACCGAGAAAUUAACGUGGUUCAGCAAUUUAUCUACGUACAUGGUUGAAGAGCAACAAUGAUAUUAUCACAAAUCACUAUGAUAAAAGAGAAUUACAAGUUCACUCAAGUGUUUCACUCACUUCCCAAAAUCCAAGUACACCCAAUAUCACUCUCUCUCAAGUAUAUCUUAAACACUAAAAUAUUCCUUACAAUAUUAGAACAAGAGAAGAAGAGAGAAUAUGCACUAAGGUUAAAAUAUUGGUGUGUCUUACAAUGGCUUGAAACAUUCCUAUUUAUAGCAAAAUCCUUGAGGAUUGUAUGGCCAAAAACAAAGAUGCUUCACCACAACCUCUUCUUCUCAUUGGCUACAAAAAAGGUUUCACUAUAGCUACUCAUUUUACUUGGCCACAUCAUUCUCUUUUUUCUUUUAAGUCAAUAUUUAAUAUGUUGCUUCAAUGAGAAAAAAUUACACACUAAUGUUGUGUGUUUAAUGAGAGAGGGGUAAAGAAACUAGAGUAAUAAAGAAAAGAAAUAAUUGGGAGUAGUUGAUGAAGAAUAAGAAGAAAAAGAUGUGAAGUAACCAAAAAUCUCAAGAACUCUGAAAGAUCUCAAAGAGAAACUUACAUAUUGCUUGAUAAUAUUCAUAUACCAACAUUACCUGUUUGAUAAACAUAAUUGAAUGAAACUUUUCUCAACCUUCUUUGCUUCUAAGUGUUGUUACUUGUUACAGAAUUGAUAGCAAGAAGAUGGUAGAAACUUUUGAGAAGAAGAUAUGAACUAAUCUUUUAUCACUUUGCAAGAAGUGAGAUGAACAUGCCUCUUUGAUUAAUAAACAACACAAAUGUCCAUACAAAGUUGUUGGCACGAAUUUUCUUGGGAAUCUUGAAAUGGAAGAACACUUGAUAUAGAAACGACACAAUCAUAGAAGCAUAACUUGAUAUGAAUUUUCUUGGGAAUCUUUGACUAGUGACUCUAGAUGAUCAGAGAAAAUGGUGAUGAGACUGUUGUAACUUGGUAGACACUCUCCAUUCUUACUCUUUGUAGUAAGGUGAGAUGGAAGUUUUUCAUAGAAGCAUAAACGCGAAAGCUUACAAAAGAUUAAUUAUGCUCUGAUAUCAUGUUAAAAUGGUAGGAGACAUGCUUGAAUCUUUUUGAUGAAACAAGAAAGAUGAGAAAAGAUAAUGAGAAAAGAAAGCUUAAAGAAUUGAUAUUUCUCAUUAUUGAAAAUGAAUGAAUUGAAUUACAAGAAAUAAGGGAACCACCCUUUAUAUACUAACUAGUUAAUCGAUUAAUUAAACUCUUAAUUGAUUAACGAAAACAAUAUUACAACUGAGAAAUCAAAAUCAACUAAAUGUUUUUUUAGAAGUUGUGAGAUGGUAUAAUCAUUUAUAUUAAAAAAGAAAUGGGUUGAACUUUCAACAGAGCAAUUCAAUUAUUAAUGACUUUAAUGCUGGAUUGGAGAGUUUGAAGUGCCAUACAAUGAAAUGAAACAUGAGAAAGGAAAAGGAAAAUGAGGUAAAGGGAAUGGAAGUGAAGGAACUAAAGAUGCGUCAUGUCAUAUUCUCAUUAUUUGAAAUGGAAUAUCUUAUUGGUGCUAUACCUUAAUUUGAGGGGGAGAAUUUUGGUUUUUUUGCAUGACUUAUUUUGGGUAUUUUAAUUCCAUUUAUUUCAAGCAAUGUAACUUUAUUUAUCUUAUCCUCUUCCAUUUUAUACCCAUAUAUUUCACAUUUAUCCCAUGAUCUGAACCUCGAUCUUUAAAACAAAUAGCAACAUUUUGAAUAAAGAUACGUUAUAUAUAUAUAUGGACUUUAUAUUAAUAAAAAUACAUUAUUUGGAUACUUUGAAUUAUAUAAGUAGACUCAUGAAACUAAUGACUUAAGGUUUUGAGUCAAUAUGUUGUGUCAAACCUACUUAUAUGAUUAUUUUCCUGGGACAUGGUGGAUUGAAGGAGAAAAUUAUUGGAUUUACUCAAGUGUGAAGUCUCAUAUUAAAUGUGAUGGGAGAAAUAAAAGACUUUAUAAGUAGAAAAUGCUCAUUAAACUAAUGCGUUAAAGUUUUGGGUCAAAACGUGAUGUCUCACUCAUAACUCUUUACUCUUCUCAUACCCAAGUAAUAAUAGAAUUCUCGAAUGAUAAAAGGCUAUCAGGAUCCAACAAUUUUGAUUAAAUUAACCCACAUAAACUUUUACUUAAAACCAUGAUUGCCACAACCAAGCACUCACAUUAAGUUAACAAUAUGCCGCAGCCAAUGAAGUUAAAUAUCUGUGGGGAGGAAUUGAAAGAAGGAAGGAAAAAUAAUGAGUAAUCUUAGUCAGGUUCCAAUUCUUCAACGUCCUCUACAUAUUAGUUUUGACAAAUAUAGUGGGAUAACUAGGGCACGCAAAGAUCCCACUUUCAAAGCUACCCUUAUAUAAAAUACUUAGUAGUACUUUGUAAAAGUCAUUAUCUUCUAAAAACAAAUACUUAUCCAAUACAUUGAACGUGAUCAAGCCAAUUGCAAUGAAGAAAAAUGACACCCCCCAUUAAGAACAAAAUUGCAUGGUCCCAACAUGCUAUAUGUGGAGGCUAAUUUAAUUGUUAGACAUGUAGAAACUUAAUCUUGCCUCUAAUUGGAUUAUGAUGACUAUGAAUUAAAAAAGAGGUUCACCUUACUUUGGCUUUUAUAAUUUUCCCAUCGUUUUCAUCUUCAUUUUAUGGGCGAAUUUACAAGGAAGAUUCACUAUAGUAUAGAGAGUUCAAUGCAUAUAGUAAGGUCCAAAUUCACACCUAAUAUUUUGUUAAUUUGACGAGGUAAAGGUGUGCAGAAAAGCUACAUUUUCUUAGUUACUUCCAACACAAUCUACAAGCUAUGAAUAUUAUGAAGAGAUAUUUAUAAAUUACUCAUCAACGAUAUUUUCAGAGUAGAAUGACAAUACAACUUAAACCUAAUUCUUGUAAGAUAUGUUCUGAAUCUUUAUCAACUAAACUAACAUUUUAUUAACUAUUGUUGGUUUUAUUAGUUUAAUUUUUUUAAUUAAAUCGUGAUUGAAUUAUAUAUCGGAAUUGGUUUACAACUAUUUUGGUUUGUGAGUACAUAGAAACUAAAUAAUUUUCUUACAGCAUCAUGUAAUCUUCCCAAGGACUACAAAUUUAUUUAUAAAGUGUAAUAUAUAUGCACCGAUUGUAUAAAGAUUUAUACAUAAUUAGUGUAUCAUUCAUCACUCAUUUGUAUUAUUUUUAUUUUAAGAAUUAAUAAUAAUACAAUGAUCGUAUAAAAGUCUCUUACACUGUCAAUAUAUAUAUAUAUAUAUAUAUAUAUCUUAUUUAUACAUGUUGCAUUCAUGUUCUUGCAUCUAGCUACAGUUGAAUAUGCUAAUUUCUCUCUUGUUAGAUGUUAUAUUAAGCUUAUAUGAUUCAAACCAAUAAUAUUGGGUAAAAUUCGUUUUUUAAUAAGGGUUGGAGUACCAUUUUAAUUAUAUUUCUUUGAGAAAAAAUGAAUAUAUAUACAUAAUAUAAUUUGUUCAUAGUAUAUCCUUCAACCAUCUAAUAACUAAUAUCAUCGAUCUUUUUUUAUAGAAUCCAUUUGAAAUUUUAUUUUUGGUAUUUUGUAUGAUAUUUUCAAAAUUUCGAUUACAUUAUUUGAAAAGAGAAUGUGUUUCUGAAUUUGGUAAAAAUAUAUCUAACUGUUGACAAAUGUAAUAAUAUUAACUAUAUUAGUUAACUUUAUUAAUUCAUCACAAAGUAUUCAAAACUAUAAAUGGAUCGGAGAAAUAACUAUUUCGAAGUUUUGGGUACACUAAUCAGAGGUGAAAGCAAUGCCAGUCUAACAUAAUUAUACCAAUGUCAUUGAAUUCGUUGCACAAAAUUUAUUAUUAGUCUUGCUACCCGGUUUACUUUUUUUAAGUGUUGAUCACUGAAGGCGAAGAAAGACAACAACGAAAGUAAAAGAAAAAUGUCCUACUUUUCAACAACAAAAAAUGUCCUAAGAGAUGCAUAAUACAAUGUUAAGGCAUAAAGUAUUUACCAUACUUUGGGAUGCUUUUAUUUAUCUUCCAUUUUCACACCUAGUAGACCAUACUUUCAAAUAACUACGGCGCUUUCGCAUGCAAAUUAAAAUUUUGUUUACUUUAUAAAAUGCAACAAAUGGUAUGAUAUUUUCAUAUUAAUUGUACUUUACAAUUUACAUGCCCUACCUGUCUAAGCAUUGUUGCCUACCAUACAGUGGGAAAAGAACUAGAUGAUAGAAAAAUCAUAAUAAAACAAAAUCCAAUACAUGUCACAAUGAGUCACCUCCACUUCAAAAUAUUCUUCAAUCUUCACCAUCUACAUAUAUUAACGCACAAAACAAUUUUUGUCCUAUACCUUAGUCAAAUAAAAAAUAUAUGUAAAAGAUUGUCAAAAUUAAUAAGUUGAAAAGCCAAUUACGAGUAACUAGCUUCAUAAUUAAAAUGCUUGAACGCAUACAUGGAGAAGGAUUAUCAAAGUUAAUGAGUAAAUAAGUGCAACAUGUACAAAGUGAAAUCAGUUGUUUGAGAAAUAAUAAUAAUAAUAAACAAAAUAAUGUAAAAAAAUGUCCAAGACAUGAAAACUGAAAUGGCUAGAAGCACUGAGGUUGAACCUAAAUACAUAGUAACUUCACGGUGGUGCUAAACUAAGGUGCAAGUCCAAUCCAAACCCAUCAUCGAAACUGGGCCCCACUUCCCCUUUAGAAAGCCCAUCAAUUCUGCUAAAGUGGGCCCUACCUUGUACUUGCGAGCCCAUCGUUGAAAAUGUGGAAGAGGAAUCCUCUACUCCUCCACCGUACCGUAAUACCCCUGUACCUGUGGAUCUAGCACCCGUUACAAUGCUAUAGUUACCACCGUUACAGUUACUAUUACUGCUUACACCGUUGUUACUGUUUGGGAACACGCAACCGUGUGAAACUGACACAUGGAAAGGAGGAGGAGCUGCACGUGGUUGCAUAUAUACCCAUGACGGUGUACCCGCAGGCACCAUCAUGGAACCCGGCGGAGCGAGGAGAUGAGGCGGUGGAGCAAAGGCGGAGAUGAUCGGGUUGCGAGCGAAUGAAACAGCAGCGUUUCGAGUGGCUUGUAAUUGAGCGCGUUUGAGUUGUUGGCGCUCUUUCUUGUGCGCGUUUUGGUGUCCUCCCAGUGCUUGAGAGUUUGCGAAUUCUCGGCAGCAGUACUGGCACUCGUAUUUGCGGUCGCCGGAGGAGGUGGAUAUGCCGGCGGUGUCACCUUCUAUGCCGCCGGUGGAGUCGGGGGAGGUGGGUUUGGGGGUUGAGUCUGAUGUUUCAUCCAGUUGGUCGUUGGUGUGUUGGUGGACGUUGAAGCCGAAGAGCUUUAAGCGCGUGGUGGAAGAAGGGUUGGUUGUGUUUGUAUGGUGAUGGAGUUGGUCCUCCAUGGGAGUGUGGGUUUGUUGUUGAUGAUGAAGAAAGGGGUAGUGGAAGUAUGAGACAAGGAGAUGAGUCUGUGGGGAAAUGGUGGGGAGCUGUUGUUAUCAAGGUGGUCUUGCAUGUAUCUUUGGGCUCUAUUUAUACAUUGGAUUUCACACAAUAAAUAAUAAUUAUGGGGUUUUCAAAGGAAAUGAAUGAUGUGUUCCCUGUAUUAUUAUAUAUAUCGUUAUGAAUAAAAAAAAUUAAAUACAAAAACUAAUAUUUUGAUUGGUUUAGCACAUAGAAUGAGCUCUCAUUGGAGAUAUGAAAUCUCUGUUUGUUUUCUAGAUGAGACAUGAUAAAAAAAAAAAUAUUCUCUUUCAUAUAUUUUUUUGGAAGAUAAUAUAUCAUUCUAAUAAUUCUCCUACCCACAAAAGAUUAACAUAUGUAAUUACAUGGUAAUACUUUAUUUAUUAAUGUUUGGUUUAAAAAUAACAUGUGUACUCUUUUUACAAGGAAUAUAAUUUGUAGGAGAAUUUAGUAGAAGAUAUAACUUCUCAUUUUUAUAAACAAUGUUAUCCCUUUUACGAGAAAAGAACUAAUCUUUUUUAGAAUACAUGAUUAUUCCACUAAAAAAAUUACCUUUAUAACAGUCAAAAUUUUGACUUUUAACCUAUUACAAUAUUUGAGAUAUAGUGAAGUUUUUCAUCACUAGACUAAUGUAGUAUAUCAUUGAUAUAUAUUAUGAUAUCUAAGAUUUGAUAAAAUUUAAGAAAUCACUAAGUUAUAUAAAAAUUGGUUCAUUUUGACUAACAUAAUCUCAUUUAAUAUAUAUUAGAAACUAAAUUAAAUAAGAAAUGGAGAAAUUGAGGGUAACUUAAAAAUAGGAAUAAUAAAUAAGCGCAUAAUCAGAAAAUAAAGUAUAAAUGUGUAUUGAAUUUUCAAAAUAUCAAAAAAGUAAAAAUGGAAGAAAAAAAUUAAAGCAUCAAACAACAUGAAAUAAAGAAAAUAUUUUAUAAAAAAUGAUAAAAAUUUAUUGGGGAAACUCAAUAUCAAAGUAUAAAACAAUUAUUUUCUUAUGGUUAGCUGUCUUUCUUAAGUAUCUUAAUAUCUAUGCAUUACCCGCAUUAAAGUUUUUUUCAUUAUGAGCUUCUAUCAUCCACAUAUGAACUAAAGAAAUUAUUUGACCAAUGAAUAGUUUAGGAUUAAAGAAAUGAACAAUGAACAGUUCAGUAUUAAAUAAAUGAACAAUGAACAGUUCAGGAUUAAAGAAAUUCGAAGCACUUCAAUAAACAACAAAAGAAGAAAAAGAAAUUCAAAGCACUAAGUUUUAUUAUUCAAAAAAUGAGGGAAAAUUGGAAUCAGAACAAUAGAUCUCUUAUAAGGAUUGUUAUUAUUAUUAUUAUUGUUUGUUGUUAUUAUUGUAAUGAGAUGAAGACGAGGAUGAAGAAUGUGAUGCAUGUGAUGGGAGCAUGGGAAGGAUUGAAACUUAAAAGUCCUAUAUAAAAUGAUUUGAUUUGGAUCAGAGCCAUAUCUCAUUAUUCUUUUUUCCCUGCUUCUCAUGGUUCUUCCUAAAUUACGUACAAGCCACUACACAUAAAUUAUGAUUUUGUAUUAUGCAAGUUGAUAAUUUAAAAGGCAACUAUUAAAGUCUCAACCAAUAUAAUUAACUUAGUUUGUUGGACUAUAUGUAUAGUAGCAGCAUCAAAUUAAGCCAUUAAAUCAGCGGAGUAGCUAAUUAAACUAUCCAAAAUUUAAUAGCUUAUUGGACCCAUCCAUUACUUUAUUAUGAUUAUGCCUUUUUGAAUGUGCAACCAACAACUAGAAAGUGAUCCUCUCUUAAUGCAAUUAGGUUAGAAAAGUGAACAUGGAUAUUUUUGUGGGUCUUGCUUGAUCUACCCUUUCGAUGGCUUUGAACUUAGCAUAAUUAAGAUGGCCAUAAUUAGUAGCUUGCCAAUAUUAUUUGAAACAUUUUGCUAACGCAAGGAUCUAACUCAACUCAAACCUCCACAAAAAUUGUUUAUUUCCCUUCAUUUAUUAUAUGUGAAUGUACAUAGACCUGUCUAUAAUGCACAAGCACCUUUUUAAUUUUCUGUUACAUAAUGUUUCAUUCCAAAUUUUCAAUUUGGCUACCAAAGUUAGUAAUCUCCAAUUUUCGAAUGAGAACUCAACUUGGCUAUCAAUAUCAAUUUUUCAUGCGUACAGGUUAGUUUAUGUAAAAGUGAUCCUCAAAGAUUUAAAAUGAAGCUCAAAUUGGUUCUUUUUAGACAAUUUAAUCCAAAAUCAAAUAAUUUUUUUUAUUACUAUCAAAAAUAUUUUUCACCUUAUGAUAAAGAACUAAUCCAUUUCGGGGUUCAUGAUUAACCCUCCUAACGAAUGUCAUUCAUAGGAAUCAAACAUUGACUUUUUGGUCAUCCUAGAGAUCUAACAAAACCUUAUACCAUUAGACUAACAUCUUAUUGGUUAAAAAUAAGUAAUGUGAUCUCAAUUUGAAAUUUUUAUGAAUAAUUUAGAAUUUUCAGUUCUCUAAGAGUCAAGCUACUUUGAUACACAUAGCCAUUUUGAUGAAAAACCAAAAUGGGUAUUCAUUCUUUUAUUUUUUCCAUAAAAGAUUAAGCCUUUAUUUAGUUGUGGGGAAAUGGAAAAGAAAGAAGUUGAGGGGAGAGAAGUUGCAAAGAAAGUAGGAUUUUCUCUUAUUUGGUUUAGAACAAAAAAUAAUAAUAGAGAGAGUAAAAAUAGGUAGGACCCACAUAAAAUUCUUUCUCCCCAUAUAUAGAAAAAAUUUAACACAUGAAAUAACAAUUAUGGUCUUAUACACUCUCAUUUAUUAAUAUUUUCCUUUCUUUUUGUUUAAUUGUGUUUUUGUCUUUUCAUCAAAUAUAACAUUUUUCUUUCCUCUUACUUUAUACUCAACCAAACAAGGGAGAUAGAGAAGAAAUAUGAAAAUCUACUCUCUUUCUUAUCUCUUUAUUAUCUCUUUUCCUCUCUUUAUAAUCUUUAUCAUAUCUUUCUCUUUUCUCGCUUUCUCCUCUCAACCAAAUAAAGCCUAAAUCUACUUAAUUUGUUGAUGGAAUCGAAAGCCUAUGAAACAGGAUGCCCAUGUCUCUGUUCUCCCCACCUUGGUUGUUGCAGACUACAACUCUCCAACUACUUCUGUAGUGUAGCUCAUACAAAGAAUUCUGAGAAUAAUGACAAUUACAUACCUAUAUGCCCAACUAUGUCACUAGUUUAUUUAGUAAAUUAAUAUCUUUUACAUUUUUAGUUUUCUUAACCUAUCUCUUUCAUUGGGUAUAUGUUGUAUUGAACUUGCAAAAACAAAUUUGUCUUAAAGUGAUUUACAUUUUGCUAGGAAACAUAGUCUCAAAAAAUAUAUCACUUGAUAAACACUACUUGAUAUGAUUGAAAAAUAUAUUUAAAUUAAAAGUUUAAUAAUUAAGUAAUUUUCUGAUUAAUACAAGUGAUGACAUAUGAACUGAGAUAGUUUUUGGGAUAUCAACAAAUGCGACCUCUUUUUAAAAAUGAUUUUGAUGAAAUAUAUAUUAUUUGUAUACCUUUAAUUUUAAUAAAAUUAUUGUUAAUAAUGUAAUAGUUGAAAGUACAUAACUGAGUUUUAUUAUAUGAAAAUUUAAACCUUUAUCUAUUCUUCAACUAAGAUUUAGAUGCCAAAUAAAGUUACAAAUAAUUUACAACUAACUACAUCAAACAUACUUAAAAAAUGGAACACAAUUUCAACCUUCCAAACUUUCUAAACACAUUCUCAACCACACCUUAAAUCAAUUUUGUCUUGCCUUAUUCUUAGAAGUCAAUACUAUUGAGCGCAUAGAUCAAUUUGUAUGAGAUGAACUAGUUUAAUUUAAUCAAAUAUCUGAAGUAUAAUUUUUUUAUAAUACAACUAUGUUUACCAAAAUGGUUUUGUUACCCAUAUACUAUGUUCAGCUCGAAUCAGGAUUAAUUAGGAAACACCCUUGCUACCUUGCAUAUCUGGUUUCUACAAACCUGAUGGUUUAAUACAAAAAUAAAAAUGGAAGCCGAGUGAGGGUAGGGCACAAGUUUAUGAACACAGAUUAAGAAGUCAAUAAAAAUAUUUUGACUAGAAUAUUCUUCUUAAUUUUUCAUAUAUUUUUACAAUUAAUUUCUGAUCAUAAGUUGUUCAAAAAUUUGGGAGAGAAAUUUUUAACAAAAUAAUUACUAACAUAAUAUAAAGUAGUACAUUAAGAAAUGGAGACAGUAUUCCAUCACAAUUUCACAUCUUGUAAAAUUUUAAGGAAAAAAUUGGAAAAUAAAUUAAUAACGAUUAUUGAACUAGGUUAGAAAAUGCUCAAAUAAGUUAGGUUAGAUUUGAAAAAAAGUACAUAUAACUUUUCUUAAGUUUAUAAAAUAUUAUGAAGACUAAAUAUCAAAAGUUUUGGAAAUAAGAAUUAUUUAUUCCUCAUUGUAAAAAACACUCUUAGUAAGAAAUGUAAUGGUUAUAUCAUUUUACAUGUAAUUUAUUAUGUUUUUUCCUCUAAUAUAUCAUCUGUGGUCGUGGGCAUUAAUUUUUGUCCAUUUGUUACAUGAAUCAAGAAAAUAUUAAAAAAGCAAAUAUAGAAAGUAACAACUAACAUACUUGUUGGGAAGUAUCUAUCUCUUUUUUGUAAGUAUAAUUUAAAUAUCCGUUGAGAUAUUUUUGUUAUUGUCAAUUAAUUUUAUGGUGAAACUUUUAAAAAGAUAUUAUAUAACAAUAGUUCAUUUUUCUCUAUGUGUCAAAUAAAAUUUAGUGAAAGGAAAUUGGUGAAAAAUAAGUCAGUCAUCAAUUACCUUAUUUUUUAUAAUCACAAUUUAAAUAUUACUCAUCCUAUUAUCAAUUAAUCUGAAGAUGAAAUUUAAGAGAAUGUUGAAUUUAUAAACAAACUAUACAUGAACAUGAACGAAAAAAUUCCUAUGGAGGUUGUAGCAUCCAAGAUCUCAAACUAUGAGAUGAUAAAGAGUGACUGUCAAAAUUUAUAUAAUAUACUUAUUAUUUUUUAUUGGUCAGAAAAGUAAAUCAAGAAUUAAAUAUAGUUUAAUUUUAUAUUUUCUGACUAAUAUAAAUAAAAAAAUAUAUAGAAUGAUACAUAUCUUGAGACAGAAGAUAUAUUGAUACUUGGGCACACAGACAAACCUAACACCGCCAGUCCUACUAAUAACUACUUCAUGGCCCACGUGUUCACAUCAUAUUCACCCCUACACAUCUCUUUUAACUAGAUAUGCAUGUUUCACAUUACUCCAACCUUGUUAAUUCCCUAACACAUGUCACCGUUUUCUAUUAUGCCAAUUUUGAACUAAUAAAGUCAACAUAAAAAGAUGUUCAGGAGGACUAUGAGGAGCUUAGUUUAAAGAGAAAACCAUACUAUAUAUGAAAGGACAUUUUAGUGUUAUGACAUUGAGUAUAUAAAAUUGAAUAUAAUAACGUUCAGGUGUGUGUUUCUUACACAACCUUAUGUUUUGGGUCCCUACCAUUACGUGUUUAUGAUGAUGAAUACUUUUGUUUAGUGUUUGCGUGAUUGACGUUGAAAUCUAUAUUUGUAUACUUCUUUCUUUCUUUGAGAGAUUCUGCGAAUCUUGCUAACUACAAGAGAGAGAGAUUAAGAGCAAGUGCUUUUUUGGGUUAGCAAUCUCCCACUUAAAAAGCAUAAUGCUACUCAUAAUAUAUAUUGUAAUCAUAAUGGCUAUGUAAUAUUUUAUCUUAGAAAAAUGGAAAAUGGCCCACUUCAAUGCUAAAGUCUUCAUCACAACUCCUAAUCUGACCCCACCUUGUCCUCACUUUCUCAUGAGUGUGAUCUAUUCAAAGCACUUCUAAUUAGUCAAAUUGUCCUAUGUAUAAGAAAAAUAUAUCUUUGUAAAUCCCCAUGUUGCGGAUCAUCUUUUGUAGGGAAAAGUUUGUAUUCCUUUUCCACCGUUAGAUCCGAUAUUAAUCAUCAUUGCAUAAUCUCCAAGUGGUUAUUCUAAAUUCAACUAAUUAAUUAGCUAUAUGCUUGUAGAGUUGUAGGAUAUAUACCAUGACAUGGGUAUAAAUGAAAGGUAACGCCAUUAAAUCAUCACAUUUAAUUAUUAAUAAAUAAAAAAACUUGUAUGAAGACAUAUUGUUAUUUUAGGAAAUAUGUGUAUUUAUACCACCAUUUAUGUUUUCUUGUGACACACUACAUUUUUAGGCUUUGAACUAUUUUAUUUUAAAAGUUAUCUGAUAUCAUGCUAAUUAAUUAUAUAUAAGUUUUAAUAAUUUGGACUAAAGUUUUAAUGGUUAUAACUUGAAACUCAGUGACUAAAAUCCUGAUAUGACAAAAUAUCAAAAUUGUUAGCAUGAUGAUGAUGUAUGUUCUAAUUAAUAUCAAUGCAAGAAUAUGUAUGAUCCACAUGGUCUCCAUUAAUAAUUUUAGAUAGAUAAAAAAUGGGUUUAAUGUAGUGAUAAACCUAACGACCCUUUCGCUUUAUCAUGUGUGGAUCCAAUGAUUUUGCUCUUUGGGUCUUUCUAGUAGUCCCAUUAUGGAGCUCAAGGAGUCAAGUCGAACACUCACUCAUAUAAUAAAGCAUGUACACUGAAUUGACAAAUCUCAUAUAAAUGAGUGUAGUCAUAAAGAGUAAAGGGAGUUUAGGUAGAGAUAUAUAUGUAGCUGUUGCUUGUUGGGACCAGUGCUGGCCAAAACAAUGGUACCAAUUUUUGGCUUCAUCAUGUGUUUACUAUUCUUAUAUAAAUAGCUUCUUAAAAAGGUAUCCUAUGUAAAGUAGUAGAGAAAUAGUGACUUCAAGAUUUGUGUUACCCAUUUCAAUAAUUACUUUUCCAAUUUCUUGAACUCAACAACUUGUUGAUUACUUGUUAUUAAAGUUUAAAUUUAUAUAAUGUAUUAUUCGUUACAUUAAAAGAUUAAAAAAUAUGAUUUCCAACUGAAACUCUCUAUCUUUUAAUUCCUGUUAUAUGCUUAAGGUAUUUUUAGUAUUAAUCAAAAAAUUAUUACUACGUACAAGUAGUUCAGUCUUCUUUAGUUUUUGUGGUAAGGAUGAUUGACAAUGCAGAUUAAUUUCCAAGUCUUAUUCUUGCCAUGUGGUGCAAUAACAUUGGGGUAGAUAUUGACUGUCCCAAAAACAAUGUAUCACUCCAUGUGUCACUACUUCUGAUUAAUCAAAAAAAUGAUUAGUUAUUAAAAUUUUAAUUUAAAUAUUUUUUUAAUCAAUCAUAAUGGUAGAAGAAGUAACACACAUUAUACACAACAGAUGUGCUCUCCUAACAUUGGCACUACAAAACUCCCAUUUGUAACUGAUUCAUACAUCACCUAAUAUGAUGGAAUUGAGAUCAUAUCUUAUCAUUCAUGUUUGGUUUUGGUAUAGUGAUUAAUUAUAAAAUAUCAUUUAAUUAAAUAUUAAAUAAAAUAUUCAUAAAAAUAAAAACUAAUAUUGUUAUAUUAUUUUGUCAAAUUUUAUCGAUUAAAGACUUAGAUACAUAAUUUUUUUUUCUGACAAAGUAUAUGUGUUCAAUAUGAUGACCUUAUCUUCCAUUGGAUCCAGCGCAAUUAAAUUGCCAUGUCGAGUAGGUAGGGUAGAGUUAGGAGUUUAGGGUUUUGAGUCACCCACAAACAUGAUAAGGUAGUUGAGAGAUAUGCCGUGUUAAUAAUUCUAAAGGAUUCUUUAAAAAAAAUAUAAAUUGAGGAAGUUAAUUUUGAAAAUUGAUGUUUAACACUUCUCAAAAUAUUAAACAUGUCAUUUUUUAGUAUAACACUACCUUUUUAGCUUCCUAUGAGAAAUUUUGUUGUUGUAUAUGCUUCUAGAAUAUACUUUAAGUGUUAUGUUAAUCAAUAAUCUAAGGAUAUUAGUUCAAAAAAUGUAAUGUGGGAAAUUUUGUCUUAGAGAUCUUCAACCAAAUCCCAUACUAAAUAUAUCAUUUUCAGAGUAAAAUUAUAAUUUUAUUUCCCUAACUAGGACAGAGUUUAAUAUAUAUGAUAGAGUAAGUAUAGCAUUGUGAGUGUAUCUAUCAUUCAUUUAGAAAUUAAAUUUAUUAUAAUUUUAUAAAAAACAGCAAUUGCUCAAAAAGUUGAACCCUUCUUCCUGUCUUCAGUAAAGUAUACACAAAAACGGUUAGGACAUAUGCAUUUUAUUUUUGGGUAUAUAUAGCAUGUAUUGGUUGAAAACAGUUUGUCAUAACCUGAGAUUCUAAAGUGAAAAAGGGUAUAUAUAAAAAGAAAAGAAUGUCUUUAUGAGAGAAGAAGGAAGAUGGAAAAUAGAGAAGCUAAGUGGGUUUGGAACUAGGAACAGUUUGAAAAUGGUUAGACAUGAACUCAAGGUUUUCUCCACUGAUGAAGGGUAAUAACACAUGGGAAGGUACAUCUCAUUGGUUCCACACUGUUUGAACAAGCACAUGUAGGUCCCAUCCACAUUGGGACCACAUGCCCAGAUUUUGUAGUACUUGCCCCCACAUCUACACUUAACUCCUAAAUUGGCUUCUAUAUAUAAAUAAAUAGAGAUUUAUUGUCUAGAUCAUAUCUCUUGUAUUUAAUCGUAUUAAUAAUAAUGAAUCAAAUAAAUAAUAAUAAUUUUUUUUAAUUGAUAUGAUAUAUUUGUAUUAUUGCGAGCUUAUGAGAUAAGAUAUGAGACAACAACUCUUCAUUACUAAAUAUUUCAGCAUAGUAGAGAUUUGUCCAAUCAUGCUUUACAAGUCUUAUUAAUACAGAUACAACUGUCUUAUUGAAUAGUAAAGAUGUUUCUUUAUUUCCUCCUUUUUUGGGUAUUUUUGAACUUGCCGUAAUGGUUUCCACUAUCAAUUUGAGAAAAAUCACUUUUGGAGGGCAUUAAUCAUGCUUUCUUUUGUUGUUGAUUGAAGUGAUGCCGAUAUUAUCGUCUAAGAUUUCCCAAAUCGUGAUUAUGGCCCACCAAGUUGAGCUUAUCAAGGAGAAUUAACCAAUGACAUAGUAAAUCACAAUAUUUAAUUAGUUAUUAUUAAGAGACGUGAUCCUAUCAUAUUAGAAUCCCCAUUAAAAUUCUAAAAUCAUAUUUUAUUUCUUUUCUUAACCAUUACUUUGGAAGUAUCCAAAAAGGAUAAAAAGGUUACCCCCAAUGUGACUUAAUUUUCAAGUUGGAAAUCCUUUUCUAUGAAUAUGUUCAGAGUAUUUAAUUUUAAGCACUGUCCCACAUAAUGUGGGUAUGACUCAAUUCGCCCAUCCAUGUACUCCAAGUGACAUUACCUACACCAUUUUAAAAUUGUAAUUCCAUUCAAUAUAAAAACCAAAUUGGUGGAUAUAUUGUAAGUGGAGUUAGCUUUAAGUCAUGUGAAUUGUGAAGUAUCUAUCUCCUUUCUCUAAUAUUAUUAUAUAAGUAUGUAAUUAACUAAGCAAUUAAUAUCUCAAUUUUUAUUUAUUCAUCUCAUUGCAAAAAAAAAAAAAAGAAAACACGUCUGAAAUAUAAGAAUAGUAUUGAUUUAUGUUCUAUUUAUUGAAUUUUCCCCCAAAAUGUAUCAUUUUCUAUCUAUGAUCAUUAAUUUUUUCUUACUACUUAUAUGAGUUAGUAAGAUAUUAAAUAAGAGUGAACAAUUAAUGGAAAUUCUAAAAAGAAGAAAUAAAUAAGGACAAAAAAGUUAAAUGAAUAGAUAAAUAUGAAGAAGUAAUAAUUUAAGGUUGGAGUUAUCCCUGGAUCUUAAGCCAGAAUGUCCACAUUUAUGAUAAAGAAAAGAAGCAAUUAUAAAAUCCCCAGUGCCUUUAAUAAGUUUAAAAAAUACAUGUUUAGAAGCUCCCGUGAAUUGAGUUAAAGAGUGGGGGUAGGGGACUUUGGUCAAUAUAUAAGACAAAAACAACUGCGUGGUUUGUUAAUAAAGUGAGGGACAUUUAUACGGCUAUGCAACUGCAACAUGACACUUAUAUAACAUAUAAUAAAACACAUCCAUGCUUGGGGAACAUUUGCACAUGACAUGACAAAAUCUAAUACCUGUAUUCAAUAAAUAUAUAUAUAAUAAAAAAACAAGUAUUCUAUAUCAAUAAAUAUAUAAAUAUAUGUUGUUCCAAAUCCUACUUCAUACAAAUGAAAAUAAAACAAAAAGAUAAAUAUCUAAUUUUUUAAUUAAUAUGUUAUGUUUUCAUUGAUGUAAUGCAUGAUUUGGGACAUAAUUUAGAUUUAGGAGAAUAUAUCUCUUAACAUUCUAUAUUGGACAAAGAUCUUCUGUCGUAAAAAAAAACAUACCUAUAUAUAUCUAGCUAAUCAAAUUUCAUAAAAUAAUAUAAAAUAUUAAUUUUUGUUAUUUCAAUUUUUAUAUUUAAUUAAAUUAGUUUUUCCAAUUACGUGGAUACGAAGGUGAGAUAGAAAUGAGGAUUUGUGAUCCUCUCUAUGGAUAUUAGCAUAGUUUUGUUUACGUGGCAAAGAGUUAAUGCCACAUGGGGACUAAACUAUUUCGAGUUAUGGAUUCAACGACCUGUACUUUAUUUUCUAUUCAAUUUAAGUGCCAACUUCUAUAAUUAGACUAGGUUUUUUUGGUACAAAGUAUACAAUGUUAAGCGAGCUUAGAUUAUUCUAUGAGGAUUAUGAUGUUUUCUUUUUAGUAGAUUUGUAUUUUACCCGUUAUAAAACUUCUAAAAAUGUUUGUCUUAUCUUCUUGACAUGUGUAAAUUGGUACAAGAAAGAGAUAAAUGAUACAUGUCAUUUUUUUAUACAACCAAAGAUUUUCACCUUAUGGAUUAGAAACUAAUCUAUUUUGAGUUCAUGAUUACUCUUUCUAACAAGUAUCAUUUACAAAAAUUGAACUUUUAAUUUUUUGAUCAUCUUAAUUAAAAAUUUAAGGAGUCUUACAAAUAUAAGGAUGAAAGUUUAUCUUUUGGUACAUGUGUUGGUAUUUUGAUUUGGAUGAAAAUUAUUUAUAGUUUCAUUCUAUUUAAUCGAAAGUAUCAAUUUUAAUAUGAUUUAAUCAAAAAAGUACUCGCCAGUUGAUUUUUUAUUUUAUUUUUUAACAUCAAGUCAUCUAUAGAAUGAAAGUAACAAAUAAAACUUCAAUUAAUAAUAUAUAUAUAUAUAAUAGGAUUGUAAAAAUGUUAAUUUAAGAUAAAUGUUUUUGACGUAUAAUAUCUAUACUAUAUAUAAAGCCAAAACUUAAAAUAAUUUUCCUGAUAGUGUAAUUUUUAUUUCCUAUAUUGCCCUUAACAUUAUUUAAUUUUUACAAAAAAACUAUAUAAUCUUAAGCAACUACCACCAAUACAUUAAUUAACCACAUAUCUCACCUUAAAUUAAACAUUAUCAUAAACAUACAAAAAUAUAAUAUAAAGUACACCGAACACAACAAAUACAUUUUAAUUCAAAAAAAUAAAAUAUAUAAAAAUUGAAUAUGUAGUAUCACACAAUAUUCGCCGACAGACACGAAGUACAUAUACAUACUAGUAUAUAUAAUAUAGUAGUAAAUAAACAUAUAAAUGUAACAUAUACACGAUUUGGUUUCAUCUAAUAAAAUAAAUUUAAAAUGUGAUCCAAUUGAUCGAUUUGGUUUGAUUGUUUUUCAUUUGUUUGUAUAAUAUUAAUACACUAACUAUCAGAGUGAGACCAAAUAUUAUUUAGCUCCCUAGCUAUAAGAAAUAAAUACAACAUUAUUAAUUAAAUUAGUAUAUACAUUGAAAAUUGGAUGAAGGUGACUCAAACGGCUCUCGAAGCUUAUAAGCUGAAACAAUCCUUCAUUAAUAUAUAUAUACAGUGGCGGAGCUUCUCAGUGGCCCUAGUUUUUUCAAUUUUUAUUAACAUAUUAAACUUGUUUAAUUUAUUAAAAUAAAAAUGAUAUUUUUUUUUUACAAAUCCGCUAUAUCAUAAGAAAUGUAACAAGUAGUAGAAUGUAUUACAAAAUAUACUAAUGAUAAAUUUACAUGAAAUAACGAAAUUUUUUAUAUCUAUUUCAGUCAUCAAUGAGUUUAAAUAAAAAACAACACUUUAAAUGAAUAUGUAUUAUAAUUUUUUAACAUAUUUAGUUAUUAAAAUGUUAUUUAGAAUUAACAUGUUGUUUUGAAACUCUUAAAUAAUUAUAUAUAUUUUAUUGUUACUUGAUUAAUUUUAAUUAUAAAAUUAUAAUUAAAUAUUGUCGUCCCCUCUAAACUUUAUUUCAAGAUCUACCAUUAUAUAUAUUAUGCUAGUAAGUUAUGCUGUGCAUGCAUGCAUGCCUUAUUAGUUUUAUAGACUCUUUUAUUGUUUUAUUCAAUUGCAGCAUGCUUAGGGGCAGUGCAACAGCAGAUACAAAAUGAUGGAAAUGACACACAAACUAAUAGUCAUGAUCAUAUCAUAUAAAAUAAGCGAUAAUUUUCAGGUUAACAUCAGAUAUAAUCGUCGCAUAAAUUGAGUUCCGUGUCGUUAAACAAAAAUGUAUAUAAAUUACAUAGCCGACUAUUAUGAAGAGAUAUAGUUUUAUAGCUAGAGAACUGUCUGCAAACUAAGCUGUCUCAUGUAAAACAAUUAUGCUAAAGAUUCUCAUACCAUGAGUCCAUGAUUGAAAGAGGAAUUAUCUUAAUAAAUCUAUGUUUGUCUUUAUAUUGAGAAGCAUAUAAAUAAUUAGAAAAGGGUUUUAUGCGUUUCUUAAUGAAUUAUGUGAUAUACAUGUUCAAACAAAACAAAAAACAAUAAAAAAAAUGAAACUUGUUUAACAAUUAUUUGAGUUACUGGUAGAUUGUUCUUUAGGAAAAUCAAAACAGAUGUAUGAAGUGACCUGACUCGAUAAACUAUGCUAAGAUUCAGAAAAAGUCAAGGCAAGCUUGUAAUAGCAAUGGUAGUUAUAGUAAGUUAAUAAUGCCAUUAUUACCUUUUCUUUAGUUUCUGUAAUAAAGUGAAGGGAACAACCAAAUUGGUUAUGGAGCUUCAAGUUCAAUGAGGAAUUUUAGAGAGAAAAGGUUUAUGAAUAUUGAGAUUCAUUCCAUUGAAUGGAUGAAUGAUGAUUCCAAUAUUGAGAAUCCUUUACACACACAAUGAAAACAGUAAGCUAGAACUACUAAAAGGAAGAUCGCAUAAUGUUGGUGCAGCGGAAGCGAUCGUUGCACAACGUUGGUCACAAACAAUCAAAUAAAGGCAUAGAAUAAAUAUAAGAGAAGAAACAAGAGAAUUUGUUAACGGGUUCAGCCAAUUGUGCCUACGUCCCCAGGAGGGCUAAGCGGCUACUAAAAUAUUAUUAGAGAAUAAAGAUUAUAAACCAUAGCACACUCAUGGGCCCACCUGCCCAUGAGGUGUUUUCUAGUUGGUGUUUACAUCUGGUGCACAUUACAACAAGAGAUCUGAGUCCAAUAUAUAACAUUGAUAUUCUACUCUCUAUUCUGAUACUAGACAUUGUUGGACUAAUACAAUAAUAACAUAUUUCAAACAUCCCAGAACCCAAUAACUUUGUGAUAAAUGAUAUAUGAAGAUUGCUUAAUAACUUUGUGGCUCUGUUGCAUAGUGCUGAGAUUACUAAACUUUGACAAUGUAUCAUAUCACUAUAUAAUCUUAAUUUUUUUUUAAGAAGGCAUUUUCACAAAUUACUUAGUUUUUAUGGCAAAGUUAUUGUGGUAAUAAGGGUUAACUCUUAGACUCUUCUUACUAUCAAUUUUAAACGAAUACAUAGAGAAAUGAAUUUUUGUUUUUGUUUUCAAUGAAUAAGUAUAUAUUUUUACUGGUACAGUCAGAAAAGAAAACAAACAUCUAAGGCCUAAGAUAACAGUUUCCCUUGGCAUAAGCUAACUACAAUCACACAUAUUACAUGGCUUAAAAGAUAUAGCUCUACAUAAUUUCAUUUAUAUAUAUCUAGUUUUCUUGUGAGGCAAACUUUUACUUAAAGCACAAAAUCACAUAAUUGAUACUAUAUCACAAUCACAUAUUUUCAGUUAAUAUUUGUUGGAUCUGACCUAUACGUAGGAUACGUAGGAGUGUCCAACUGAGAAAUUUCAUUAUUAUUAGAGUAUGAGAAAAAUGAAUAGUUAUAAAUAAAACACUAUGUUUUGAACCAAAACCUUAAGGUAAUAAUUUUAUGUGCAUUUUUUAUUUAUAAACUCUUUUAUUUAUCGUUUUAUAUCUAAGGUGAGACUUUACACUUGAAUAAACUCAAGAAUAUUAAUAGAAAAUUAAGACAAUAAUCACAUUAACUAAAAAUAUUCUUACCUGAGUUAAAGAAUGCAAUCACAUAUGGGGCAUAAAUUGCCCAUCGAUCAAAAGUUACAAAGAUUUUUAUUUUUUAAUUGCCCUCUUCCCAUUAGAAUAUCUAAAAUACAAACAUCCGAAAUUAAAAAAAUAAAAUAAAAAGGCUUUCUCUCUAUUACUUGGGCUUGUGUAAAUAUAGAUUCAAGCAAUCUUAUCCUUCAGUUGCAGCACUUGCAGCACUCAGGUCCACAGAAAGAUCAAGAGCCUGAUACAAAGAGCCCAAAGGAAAUAAUGAACAAUAAUUAUAAUUGGAUUAUUGGAGCAUAAUGUUAUCAGAUGGUAAAUCAAAUUAUCACAUUCUCUAAUGAAGAAAUAUAAAUGCUAUAUUUUCAGGAAAUAAUUUUGGUAUAAAUUUUGCUUGAAAAAAAGAGAUAUGCUUAUUUCUUUGCUGUAUCUACCAAAUGCAGGGGGCAUUCUAUCCUUAAAAUAUAUUUAUGUUUUGUAAUUCUGUGAUAGACAAUGAAUUGCAUGUAUGCUUUUUUCUAAAUAAAAGAUACCAUUAACCAAUAAAAUGAAAUUGAGAUGGAAAAUGAAAUUUCAAUAGUAUAUUAUGAUAUUAUUACCUUUCCUGUGAUCUUACUGUACAUUUCAAUCACAUCUGUUACUGUGGUUUCAAAGUGUGUGGUAGCAUCAUAGCUCUGUAAGGAUUUAAUUACAUUUUAGUACAACUGAUAUUCCAAGAUAAAAAAGAAUAAGGAAAGAGAACACAUUAUAUAGGCUGAAGAUAUCAAUCAUAUCAUAUCUAUCAUGAAGGAAACCAAAGACAAAAUCAUUCCAUAAAUAACUUAAAAUAGCAGUCAAUAUUAUUGGUUCCAAUUGUGAAAAUUCCAUAACAUGAUAAAUUAAUUACUUCACUUAGACCAUAAGGAUAUUUGAUUCUCUAUGUCCUGUCACAGUGGUUAGGAAAAAAGUGCUAGAAUAAAUCUGAGAGAUUCUACUAAGUACUUACUUUAGAGAUGAAACAACCAUCAACUUGAUGAUCAUUGGUGGGUUCCAAUCUGUCAUACAUGUCAUAGAAUAUCUCAUCAACAGGGCCAAGAAGGUCAAUACCAGGCUUCAAUUCUGACUCAGGUUGGUCAGUUUCUGCUUCUGAUGUAACAAAAGCAAUAUAUUUUCCUUUGGGUGCAACAUUGUGAGCAUAAGAGCAGCAGAAAAGAUACCUGCAGUGACAAGGUGAAUCAGGAACAAAACCUAUGAAGUUAGAAGUAAAAGUAAUCACUAUCAAAAUCCACUCUUUCACUCUUAUUUAAUUUAUAGCUUGCCAUUUAAAUCACUAUAUUGUAUGGUUUAUCAGUAGUUCUUCACUAUUAACAUUUAUAGGUGACAAUGGAAUGAAACAUUAGUUUGCCAUUUUGAAUCACUAUAUUGCAAUUACAACCUAUUUGCCAUAUUAAGUAACAUUAGUUUUCAGUUACAAAUACUAACUUUAUGGUAUUACAAAGUUCAAUAGCCAUGCAUGUAGAGUAUGGUCCUACUAGGAUUUCAAUGUUCUUUCCUGAAGUACAUGAAUAUUAUACCACUGUAGUUGAUUAAAGCAAACUUACAUAUCAGAUUUACGACCAAGUUGCUUCUGUGGCAGAAUGACUUGUGCUGAGUGAGAAUCAUUAGUGUCUGGAAUAGGAUGGCUCAUAAUACAUAUUGCACGUGCAACUUUUCCCACCUUUCUAACCUGUUAGAUCAAUUAAUUAGUGCCAUUUGAAGAUCACAUGUUUAGACUAAAAUUUCCCACAGCAAAAUAAAAUACUUCGAAGAAUGUAGCUCCCUAUCAUACUGAGAAGUGUAGCUUUUGUUUUUAGUUUUGCUAAACAUUGCCAAGGGAAAUGGUAAAGGAACCAAAAAAUGCCAAGUCCACAGUGGGAAAUGAUGUAUUUAACAUAAUAAGACUAACAUUUUUACUUUUCCAACAUUGACUUCACACUUAUGUUUCCUUAACUGUUAUAAAAUAUUACACACACAUAUAAAACAAUUGUCAAAAAUAUGUAAAAGUCCCACUUUGGAUCUGUCCCUGUAUGCACCCUUAGAAAUCUGACAGAAGAUACCUUGUCAGGAAGAUAUGAUGGAUCACACACAACUUUCUUGCAUUUGGCUGUUUCUCCUUCAGAGGUCACACCAAUGGCUUUUCCAUCACCAUCAAACUCUACCUAUGUACCACAAGAUAAAAUGUGAAGAAUGAAAUCAAGACAGAGUAGCUAGGAAGGGAAGAAUAAUGUUCAUUAAGAUGGCUCCAAAUUCAAUUUAAUUCUCUUGAUAAAUUCAACCUUUCCUUCCACAAGUUGUAGUAUAUAAUUUUCCAGAAUAUAAAAGUAUGGUUAUGAACUUACCUUGCAUUCUGGCUUGUUGAGCAUGUAAGUUCCACCAUACACUGCACUCAAUCGCGCAAACGCCUUCGAGCCAUCGAAGGAAUAAAAGUUAGUUCCGGAAACAUACCAAGUUUAAGAAGGAAGAGGGAUAUGGAGAACCUGAGGCAACUCUCCUAGUCCAUAUAGUGGAUAUAUGUAAGGUGAACCUCCUUGGAAACGUGCUAGAGAUUCUGCAUAAAGCUGUACAAAACAUACAUGUUACAUACAUGUUUCAUGUUUGGAAGGUUUACCUAGUGAUUAUAUAUGCAUGCAAAAUCAACUGAAGGUUGAACACAAAUUCCUAUGAAAGAGAAACAUAAGUAGCCUAAGGUAUCAUGGUGAUAUAAUUUUGCAAUUUACAUCUCAAUAGCUAUGCAAUUCUAUUCUUUUCAUGCAUUUGUAAAUUAGUACCUUCAUUUUCUCUACAAAUUCCUUGGCAGGCUCAUCCAAGUAAUUAUCAUCCAGAUGAAGUGCCAAGGCGUGCCCAAUAAAGUCAAUUGUAUCAUCUUCCAACCCAUAUUUCCUACAUUUGAAGCAGCCAUUAAAAAUUGAGCAAAGUAGAUUGAAUCAAAGUAUUAUAUGCACCUUACUACAAGAACAAUAGUUCACUAGAGUAACAACAUGCUGCAAACUCUAAAAUAAUGACAUACACUUAAUGAAAUAAUCACAAUAUUGUAAGUCAUUUAUCUUAAUAAGGUUUCACCUUAGUUUGUCCUAUAUAGUUCAUAUUAAGGAAGAAAAUGCUUCUUCUUAAAUAAAAAAACAAGUCAUGUCAGAUUUAAAGCAAAAUCAUGCAAAUAAGAUAUAUUAUCAUACGAUAUCAGUUGCCUUGCUGUAACUUGGUUCAAAUCUAGUCCUUCUUGAGAUUUGGGAUCACUUGCUUCAUAAUCUUGGACAUAAAUGAAGAACUUUCGAGCACGACGCUUCUCAAAUAGUCCCAUUAAAGGUGAUUUCAGCGCUUCAACAUCUGUUGCUGGAACUUUGUAAAUCUUUAAAAAAAAUUAGAAUUAUGUUACAAGGUUUUUCUCAACAUGCAAGAACUUCCAUAUGGUGAACAUUGCAAGAACUUCCUUAAGAUUCAACAUCUGUUAUAACAAAAGUGUCAACUGUGAAGAAUAUGGUGAAUAUAUAACAUAUAUACCUUUCCCUUAUUAUACACAAAACUUCCAUCUACAGCCUUGAAGUUUAAAUACUUUGUAACAUCUGUGUGGAUUAGAACACGGACCAAACCUCCAUUGGCCAUCAUAAACUACCAUAAAACAGAUGAAAAAGUUGGUUUUUGUCAUAAAUGAAUAACAGUGGACACAUAUAAGCAGAUAUUACAAUCCACUUGAUGCCUCUCUAGUAAGGGUAUAUUUGUGAGUUUGAGUUUUGGAGAGUGAAAAAUGAAAAAAAGGAAAGCUGUAGGGCAUCUCCCAAGUGUAGCUGCAGGACAUCUCCCAAGUGUAGCUGCAGGACAUCUCACAAGUGUAGCUACAGGGCAUCUCACAAGUGUAUUUCACAGCGCUGAAGAUUUCUAUUUCGCUUCAUUCCCCUCCAAAACUCAACUCGCAAAUAGAGCUUAAGAGUUUGAAAUAUCCUCAUUAAUAAAAAUUGUCUUGUCAAAAUAAAUAAAAAGGCAUGUAGAAUAGAAACUAAAGUAAACUGCAAUGGUUUUUCACAAUAAAGAUUGUAGAGAGACACAUGAUAAAUAAAUGCCUCAACACUUCAACUAUAAAUGAAGGUAACAAUAUAAACAGGAGAGUAGGUACCUUAGGUAUCAUAUCAACAUUGAACUCCCUGCUUGAGCCUAAGUUCUCUGGUGGCUUAUCUUCUCCCUUAAAUCGCUUCCACAGCUGUAUAAAAAAAUGAGUUUAACGUGAAAAAAGAAAACCAAACACGAUAUUAGAAUGAGAUAUUUUAUAUGCUUAUAUUACAACCUGUGUAAGAUUAAGAGAUGAAGAUGCUCCACCAUAAUAGUCAUUUCUGUCCAUGUGCAGCACCUGAUUCAAGUUGAUAGGAAUAAAAGCAAGAGGAAGAACCAACACUAUGAGUAUGUUUUCAAUGCAAAAGAUGCAGUGAUUUAAGGGAUCAUAAAUCAUAAAUCACUAUUGCUUCAUAUACUAACAGUAGGAUCAUACAUUGUAUAUUAAUAAUCUUUCUUCAAACACAAUCAAAUCACUAUUGGAACACAAAUAUACAAUCUUAUCAUUUCCCUUUCUCUUUAUCAUGUGAGCAAAUUUGAGUAAUAUGAGCCAUAAAAUUAUAUUUCAUGAAAAAUAGUUUCUAUUCUACAUUGUUAUUUUCUUGUAUAUCAUCAAUUUGAACAUGAAAUCUAACUUUAAAAAGGUAUGGUGGCUCCCACUUAGUGGGAUUUCGGGAGAGAUUUGUAUGCAAUUUUAACCAUGCAAGUUGAUAGACUAUUUCUAAGAUUUGAAUCAAUAAGCUCGUGAUCAUCCAUUAUCAAACUUAUUGUUGCACCAAACUUACCCAACCUAACUUUAAAAUAAAUAAAAAAUGUACAAGAAAGAAACAAAAGGAAAAUCAAAUAUGCAAUAUAAAGAAGGUGAGAGAAAUAGAGGAAUUAUUACUUUGAGGCCAUCAACAGAGAGAAGGCCACUAAGGAUGCAUUCUUUGAGCCCAGUGCCCAAGACAAUUACAUCAUACUCUUCAUCCAUGGGAGGAUUGAAUUAUAGAAAAUAAAUAAAAAUGAAAAUGAUUCAAAUGCAAAAGACAAAAGAGAAAGAGAGAAAACAUAAAAUGGUUGUUGAUGAAGGUUGUGUAAGAGAGAUAUUUAAAGCAGAACAAGUCUUUAGGGUGCAUGUAAUUAACGACACUAACGCUAGUCCCCCAAAAUAACUCCUCUUAUCAUGCACCCACGUGUUUUUUCUCUUCUUCGUGCUUCAUAAAAAUAAGAAGAAACUACUAUUUAGUCCAUGAAAGACAUGAGCUGCAAACUACUUUAUUUAUAAUAUACGAAUGAUACAAAAUUAGUAAGACAUUAGAAUUAAAUCAUUUUAUUAGUUUUUGAAUCAUUUAUUGGUAAUCGUUUAGGAAAAGAUUGUUGGUUGUUGAUUUAUUGUGCAUUGCGUUUUCAAUUGUUUCCUUUUUUUUUGUUAUUGUUGUUUCUUAUUUUAAUUUGUUUGUUAUUGAUCAAUAAACAAUUCGAGCUAUUCAAGAUCAAUAAACAAUCCUGGGACCAUUUUAUUUGUCAAAGUAUUAGAAUUGAGGGGAUUUAAUGUAUAGUGGAAACUCAGGUUAUCAUCACCUUAGUUAUUGCUCAAAGUUGCUAAAACAAUAAUCUCUUAUAAACAGCAAAAGAAACAUAAAAUACAGAGAAAAUUAUAAAGUUUUUAUGAUAAUAAACUAUAUAGACACCACAUAAUCAUCUACUCAUUAUUAUAUGAACACUUUCUAAGAAUCAAUUUGGCAAAAGAAAAUAGAACAAUAUGAAUUCAAGUACAACUCCACCACCUGCAGGGUCCUCUCAUACCCUUCUUAUUUUACACAAGUUAUUUUCAAACAGCAACACCUGGAAUGAAUUUUGAUGACAGAGGAAAGGAAGGAGGCCAAUCUGUUCUUCUCCUUAGUUCUUUUAAAGUCUUAAUUAAUCAACAUUGUCUCUUUAUUUAAGUAAUGAUGGUAACCUGCAAAACAUAGAUAGGCUUUCAACAACUAUAAAAUAUAACAGAAUCAUUCACCAUCUUUAUAACGAUGCAAUCAUGUAAUAUAAUAAGUUCAAUAUAGUACAUAAGUUAAUAGACUAAUGUUUUGAAUUGAGCUUUCUUCAUAUGCUAACACCUUUUACCCACAUCUUAAGAAACCACAAAACUAUGUAUUAAUAUGUAUUGAAAAAUGGUUUUUUUAUAGUUAGGUUUUCUUUUUUUAUCAGCGAAAAGAUUUUUUUUAUUAAAGUAUCAAAUGUACAAGAAAUAUAAGAGGAUUUUAAUAAAACAUAUAAGUGCAACUAUAGACAAAAUUAAAUAGAAUUAGAUUUCAGAUUGUCAAAUUUUCUACGGGAGGGGAAAAGUGCAACAACUAUGGUUUGGAUACAUGUUUAAUGUUCGAGAGCUCAAUGAAUUAUGUAUGAAGUUUUAGUUUAUGUAUUAAUAAUUAAUAAUAAAAGCAUAAUUAAAUAUAUAUGUUUGUUUUGGUGAAGUUAAAACAUUAUAUUUUACUCGUUAGCAUUACUUUGGCAAGACUUGAUUAUGAAUAUUUUCCUUUUUGAUUUUAAAAAAGUUCAAUAUAUCAUUAGUAACUUAAAGAAUGCUUCUUUUCCGUUUCUCAUACACAAAGAUUGUAAAAUAAUCAGUGAGGUAGAAAGGUGGUGUUAAAUAACUCAAGUUCAAUGAUCAUUACUUGGUCUUAAUAUAUAAGGGUUGAUGAAAAUAAGUUAAGUGUUACAAAUCCCUCAUUUCCCUAUACUCAUCUUGAACAACACUGAAUUAAACCUUUUCAUUUCUUUCGGUGUUUUAUACAUACUAUUCCAUACAAAGAGAGUAAAGUGAUCUAACUCCAAUUUUAGAGAUGUGUCACGGCCAUCAUCUUCAGGAAGAUAUGAACUGUGAAUAUUGAAUUCAAAAGAUUGCCUUUGUCCAUGCAUAAGGCUCGGUACCUACAAGUCCAUAUAUUACAUUAUGAUACUGAGAAUGAUUAAAUAAGCAAAAGUUUGAUAAGUGUAUCAUACCUGUUUUAACUUUUGGUUUUCUUCCAUUAGUUCAAAUAAUUCCUGCAAUGGGUAAUGUAAUUUCCAGAGGAUGUUCACAACCUUAGCUGAUUAUCACAAGGUGACGUUACAGUUGCAGGCAAGGGAUCUAGGUUUAAUCCCAUGAGACAAAUGACUAAAACACUGCUAACGUAAUAGGGCAUAACUAACCUUUAGUUUUGAAACAUUGAUCAAACCUAUGUUAAGUAGUUCCUCUAGUCUUUGAAGUUCCUGUAAUUUCAGUCCAUGCAGCUCUUGCCCAUUCAACUGUCUGUGAUAAAGGUUGAACAACCUCUCAGUGAUACAUAUAUAUAUAUAUAUAUAUAUAUAUAUAUAUAUAAAUUUGUGUGGUGCAUUCAUCUUAUUUAGGUAAAAAGUUACUAGCUCUGUGUCUGAGUAUAUACCUCAGUUCAUGGGUCUUAUAUUCUACUUUCUGGCGCAGCAUAUUGUUGGAGUCACUCUGAACCUGUGCAUAAAUUAGCACAAAUAUUUGCCUUUCAUAAUUUUCCAUCUUUGUGACAAAUGAUCUUAAAAGAAAUCACAAAGGCAAUUCACAUAAUACUAUUUUAUUACAAAGUGUUGUCAAUGUAAUUAGAAAUACAGCUUCAAUUAUCUAGAUGUGAUAGUGAGAAAAUUGAUUAAAAAAAGUGGGAAUCAUGAUGUAAAAUCAAUGGAAGCAUGAAUGGACUGUUUCAUAAAUCACAUCAGAGAUUAACCUGCAGAACUCCUUUUCUUUGCUUCUUGAGUUUUAAAGGUAAAACUUUAAUCUCACUGUAAUAAUUAAAAGAAACAUAAGUGUUCUUUCAUUUUGUUUUUUCCUUAUCACUGGGGAGGAGUCUGAUUCCAUUUUUCCCAUAUUCGUGUGUCAAAGAAUUAGCUUUCUUAAUCAAAUAUUAUAAAUUCCAGGAUUAAAAGAAACGUCAUCAGAAUUCACCAUUUAAAUAACCAGCUACAAUAAAUAUUUGAAGUUAUUAUAUACCUGCAGCUCAAUAGAUGGGGCAUUUGGUUUAUGAAUUGCUGAAUGCCGAUCACGCCUUUCAAUCACGUGUUGCAUACUGGAAACAACAAACAUUACAUAGGUUCAAGAUAAUCUGUUUUCCUUCGAAUUUGAAUCACAUGAAAGUUAAAACUUCAUAUUUGUUGAAAAGUGAUACGUACUAAAGAUUUCAAAAACAUGUACACAUUACAUUCAGCAACAAAGAAAUAUAGAUAUUAAAAAAAUUACAAAAUUAUGUCAGCUCAAUAGAAGGUACGAAACAAGGAUGCAAAAAGCAUCUAGAAUUGCUGAAAGAAACAAGUCACAAAUUAGAAACUACGAGAGGGUUGUCGGUUUUGAAAUAUGUCAAUAAAACUUAGGUGAUCUAAAAAAUAUUUUUAUACAUAGGAAAUUGCAUCUUUGUGAUGCGUGUGGUGUCUACCUCCAACCCACCAAGUAUGAGAGUCUACCAACUUAUCAAACAUGUCUUCUGUUGGGUGUUUAAGUGUGACUGAUAUGGUGAAGAACUUUCCACCCCGGAUUGGAAUGUAUAAUUUGAGUACAUACCGAAACAUCCAAAACUUGAAUUUCGAGGUGACAAAUAUCUAGAGAUUAGUUAUGGACAAAUUUGGUGUCUAUUUGGAAUAUAAAUAAUAUUUCGAAGUCAACAGCGAAAUCAGAAUUCGAUUCCGAGUUACGGAACUCAAAAACUGAGCAAAAACUCGAUAAAACGACCCGAAAUUGUCUCGGAAACUUUUAUUUUCCAAAAAUCUUGAAAAAAUAGGGCAAGCAAGAAAAUAAUAAUACAAGACUAAAACUCAAUUGAGAUUUAGCCUAAAAUAUUACUGAUUUAUUUUGUAUAAUUAAUCCAUUAAUAUUAAUUACUUAAUUAAAAGUACUCAGAAAAACACGAUGUUACACCGAGCUUAGAACAUGUACCUUAAUGUGAGGUAUUUGGUAAUGAAAAUGUUCAUCAAAUCACUAAUAACUGUUGGAUUAUAUUUGCAUCGACCUAUUUUCAGUCAUGAUCAAUUAUAGUAAUAUAGUCUUUUCUAGAAUUUAGAGCAUGUAUUUUCUAGAGUUUAGAGCAUGUAGUAUUGGAAAAUACUUAAUACUACAACUAUUGUAAUCUUUAAGGAGAUAUUCCAAAAUAUAUAACAAGUACAUCAAACAUCAAGUUCCAAAAUACUUUAGUGAUGUAUUUUUCAUUUCUCUUAAUUGUGUUAAUUUCAAUGUACAUUUAUGAUUCCAUAUAUAACAUGAUAUUUGAUUAUAAAUAUACUAUAAUCCUUACAUUAUUAAAUGAAUAUAAGACUUUUUGUACCUUUAUUUCAGUUUUUGAAAGUUUCAACUUACAUAUGACUAAUAUAUAAUGGUUUCAUUACUUAUUUAGUCAUCUUAUUCUGGGUAUAUUUCCUACAAGUGACUAUCAUGUAAAUUCAUACUAAAUGAAUGUUUUUAUAGUACUUGCAACAUUCAAAGAAAGAAUGUACUUCUUAUGUACAUUCAAUGCUAUAUAUUUGUGUUUUCAACAUUAAUUUAUUCCUAUGUGCUUUUGUACAUGCGUCAAAAGGAAUGUGAUCUACCAAACGCAUGGGUAUGUUACUAAUAAUAUUGAUAUAAAUAUGUAUGGCGAGGAUCCUAGAUAUAGGAUGGGAUGAGAGAUAAUAUUAGAUGUGAUCAAUAAUAUGAUUUAAAGUGAAUAGAGAUAGGAAGUGGUGUAAGGUAUAAAAGGUGAAGUAAGAUUGGCAAACAAAUUCUCUAUCAUUGGCAAUGGAUAUGAAAGUUAGUAACAACUUGAAAUUUCUUUCUCCUUCCAUCAAAUUCCCAUUAUAUCAACAAGUUAUGGCGGUUGGGAUACACCUCCUCCACGGUGGUUCAUGUGCAAUAUGGAUGGCAUGGUUAGGAAGACUAGUAGCUUUAGCUGUGAUGGAGUGUGUAGAGAUAAUUUGGGAAAUUGGUUAUUUGGCAUUUGUAAAAACUUGGGAAUAUUUAUUAUACUUUGGGUUGAACUUUGGGGUAUGUAUUCAAUGCUAACUCUAGUUUGGAGUAAAGGUUUGGCGAAUAUAAUUCUUGAAAGUGAUUCGCAGGGACAAUCAACUUAAUUACAAAUAGUUUUGAUUAAUUUCAUCCUUAUGCACCUUUGGUGAAAGCUAUUAGAAGCUGGUUAGAAAGAGUUGGACAAUUCAAUGUAGUCACAUUCACAAAAAUUCUGGCAAAUAUAUCUCAUAUUCCUUCACUUAAAUAUAGAAAUUUGAAUCUGUUUGAUUUCACAAGAAGAUAGUUAAGCUCCAAAUAACCAAAAAAAAGGUGAAGUAAGACAAGAAGUUGUAGGAUAUAGAACUUCCACUCGCAAUGGAUAAAAAAGUGGCAAAGACACUUAAAUAUAGACAAUGAUUAAAUUACAUGACAUGGGAGAGACACUCUAUAUAAAUAAAAAAUAUUUAUACACAUGUAUGUAUAGUAUAAGAAUAUAAUUAAAUAUGAACUUGAAAUUUUCUUAAAGUGAAAGUCAAUAUUCAUGUAUUUUCCUAUGUUCACAAUAAAAUAUUAAGAAACAUCACUUUACAACAUGAGCAUUUGUCUAUUUACAAAAAUUGUAUAAACAAUAAAUUAACUAUUUUUAUUUUGGUUAAAAUUGUCUCUCAUUCUUGAUCACAUUAUUAAAGUAAUAUAGCAUUUAGCUAAGAUUCAUCAAAUUAGAACUUCAAAAUCAAUUAUACAAACUCAACUCAUGUUAUAUUUCACAUUUUAAUUUCAUCUUUAUCCAAAUUUGUCACAUAUUUAAUGUUUUUUCUGCAAAGAUCCAGACACAUGCCCAGAAUGCAUCCAACUUAAUUUUAAAUAUCAACUAUAUACUGGAAAUGUGUCAACUAGAUCUCAGAACAGAUAAAAAUAAUAAUUUCAAAUUUCCCACAUGAGAUAGCACACAUUUAAUGGCAAAUGACAUCGUUAAAAAUUUGGAUUGGAGUGCGUAAUAAUAAUACUUGUUCGACAUAAUUUAAAUCCUUUACUUAAUAAGAAAUAAGAAAAGUUACAAAAAUUAAUUAAAGUCAUAACAAAAUUCAUUACCCUAGCCCAUAGAUUCGAUGAAAGAGCAUCUCAAUUUUCGGAGAGAUAAUUUGUUAUGUUCCAAUUUUUGUUCGGAUCUAACAAUAAAAUAUCACUUAAUUAAAAAAAAUCGAAAAUAAUAUUUUUAUAUUAUUUAUAGAAAAUAAAUUUGUUGGGACAUAAUUAGUACACUUUCAUCAACUAAUCUUAUUUCUUAUUAUGCUCAACUAUCUGUUAUCCCAAAAUCCAUCUUACAGUAAUAAAAAAUAUGUUAUAUCAAUUUAAAAAUAAAAUUAAAUAUAUAUUUUUUUUUGUUAUUAAUUAAUGUCUCACAACUCAAAAGAGUACUUACCUCUCCUUCAACUUACAACACAAAACUCCUCCGAACUUAUUAUAACCAUUUUACCAGUCUCCCAAACAUUAACUUGAAGCUUCUUAUCUCCGACCUCAACUUCGCGUCCCUUUCGUCAAUUCACACUCUAACAACCACCAUGGACGAUGGCGGAAGCAGAGCCGAAGCGGAGCGAUGGCUCUACACAGCGAACAAGCUUCUAAGCGCACGUGACUUGCACGGGGCACGCUCCUUCGCUCUCCGCGCCCGCGAAUCCGACCAGACUUUGGACGCGUCGGAGCUUCUCCUUACGGUUAUCGACACCGUCCUAGCCGGCGAGACUCGUAUCAACGACCACCACUGCGACUGGUACGGGAUCCUCCAGAUCCAUCGCUACACCACCAACAUCGACCACAUCGCCGCCCAGUACCGCCGCCUCGCUCUCCUACUUGACUCUAACCGCAACCCCUUUGCCUUCUCCGGCCACGCCUUCUCUCUCGUCCACGACGCAUGGUCCGUCCUCUCCAACCCAGUCAAUAAGUCCAUGUACGACAACGACCUCCGGUUACUCACUUCGCAACCACCUCCGCCACAGCAACCACAACCUCCGCCUCCCCUGCCGCAGCCUCAGCCGCAACUAAAGAAAAACCCUAGAUCUAAAAAUGUUUCGACUGAACCGGCUCAAGCCAGGACCGAGCCGAAUGAGUCGACUCAGAUUGAGUCAGAGGAAGCGAGUUUUUGGACAUCGUGUCCGUACUGCUAUGUUAUGUAUGAGUACCCGAAGGUGUACGAAGAGUGUACCUUGCGGUGCCGGAGCUGUAGAAGAGGGUUUCACGCUGUAGUGAUUCGAUCGCCACCGUUGAAUGGGUUAGAUGAAUCCUUUUGCAGUUGGGGAUAUUUACCGUUAGGGUUUUCCGGUGAUUCAAAAGAUGUUAAAGGAGUUGGUUCUAAUUGGAACCCAUUUUCGCCACACUUCCCUUGCUCCUUGAAAGGGGAUACGAAGAAGGAGAAAAGGGGUUGGGUUUAUCAUGAUGAAGAUGCUGCAGCCGCGUUCAUUGAGAUUUCGGAACCUAGUGAGGAUGAUUCUGAUGGAGACUGGAGGGAUGGAAAAAGGAGGAAGAGUAAGAGGACAAGGAGUUCCAGGAGGAAUUUUUUCUGAUAUUAGGGAAUGAGAAUCCGGGUAGUGGUGGUGGAGGCAGUGGAGGCGGGCGGUUGAUGUUAUUGCAUCUGCAGUGGCUGGUGGUGCAAAUGCAAGUAGGAGUACAAAGCCUGGUAUGAGAGGUUCGGUGGGUGGUCCUAGGAGGAGAGGCUCAGGGAUUAGGAUUGUAGGAUCCGUUUGCGAGUUGGGUUUUUGAGGGAAAUGGAUAGCAAAGAAGGGUUACAGAGUCAUCUAAGUGUAUUUCAUGGCUCAGUCAUCUUAUAAAUAUAUUUCAUGACUUUUAAACCUUUUAUUUUCCAUCUAAAAUCCAAUUCACAAACGAAUCUAUUUCCUCAAUAGCUUGCCCAUUCUCAAUGUUGUGAGGGAUGAUAAGGUUAAGGGUCAUUAGUCUUUUAGAUACUUGUUUUUUUCGUCCUUGAUUCUACAAUGUAGAUUGUUGUUACUUGUCUGUUUGUAUUUGUUGCACGAAGUAAAGCUGAGCUAUUUUGAAGUCUUGUCAUUGUAAAAUUUUAUAAUGGUAAACUCAAUCAGAUGAACUACUCACACACAUAACUGUUUCCAGCUUCAAUUCUUCCCAGCUACAAAAUCUAUAAAAUAUAAAUAAUCACAAACAAUUAGUCAUUCUACCUCUUUUCCCUCUUUGUAAAUUACAAAGCAGAUGAGUUGGUAAGCCUACAUUUGAAUGUUUGGGGAUAAACAAUAUAUAGUAGCCAACCACACAAAAUAUCAUUCUCAAACACAAUAUGUUGUUGAACUAACAAAAGAUUGCAAUGCUUCAUUUUGAUUCUCCAAAUUAUACAUGCCCUCCACAUCUCUCUUACUCUAUAUAUAAGAUCAAGCACCAUCUAUGUUCUCAUCAAAUCUCAAAGUUAAAUCCUUCUUUACACAUAGCUUCCAAUUAUUCUUCACUCUUCUAAUUCAUUAAACCAUGGCCUCUAGCAACUCCUUCAUCACAACCCUCUUUCUUAUUGUGGCAUUUUCUAGCAUCAACUUAACCUUAGGAACUCGCCAUCUUUUGCAAACAACACAACCAAAUUUGCCAAACAUUCCCACUUUGCCUAAUCCAACAUUACUGCCACCUUUGCCUUCAAUUCAACCAUUGCCUCAGGGCAAUAAUGUUCCCCAAUUGCCUAUAAUCCCAUCUCUGUCACAACCUACUACUCUGCCACCAUUUCCUAGUAUUCCUAUCAUUCCAAUAACACUUCCUACAUUGCCCAACUUUCCCUCAAUCCCCACCACUAUCCCCUCCAUUCCAUUUUUCUCUCCACCACCUUCAACUACUAGCCCAUAAAAAAUGUUCACUUUUUGAUCCUGUGCUUGCUAGCCACUGACUUGGUAUCUUUGCCAAGUUGCAAAUGUUGUCACCAGAGUGCAUGCCAUAGAUAUUGCAUAAUUUAUUGUGUGUCAGAGAGUUGUAUAAGGUCAUAAUCAUUGUUGUAUUUGUUGUUUGGUGUGAAGAACGUUUAUUUUUCUUUUCUAUGCUCGAGUUUGUCAUAUUGAUUGUACUCUUUACAUAUAUUAUUGAUGUUGAAUUACAUAUUUAUAUACAAUUACGAUUAUGAUGCAUUGCUUUUCCCUUUGAACUCUUGUAACAACUUAGUUAGCCCCUAUUGUUAUUUUCAAAUCAUGAAGACUGAAGAGUAGUUUACAUAUUUGAGUUAGCCCCUUUGUAACAUACUUGCAAAAUUGCAAUAACUUCAGAGCUGUCAAUGAGCUCAAUUAGUAACAUACUUAACCCAUGUAUGAUGGCAUGAGACUUCUUUAUUAUUCUUAUGGUAGAAUUUUAUUAAUUAUGUUUACCAUGGAUAACUUAUAUUACAACAACCAUUUUUUGAUGGCUAGGUAAGGACUAAGGGGACAAGGAUCCACUGUCCCAAAUUUUGUCCUAGACCAAUCAUAUUAUGUCACGUCAGUUAAAUAAAAUUAAAUAUUCAUAACUUUAUCACCAUCAAAUAGUUCUGUCUAGUAUCUUGUGUAAAUUCCUCACCUCCCUUUUAUUACUAAAUUAAAGUGUUCCACAUGUCACCUCUCCCGUGUUUCUUAAUUAAAUCUUCACUAAAUUCCAUGCUGAUCAUCUUCACUAAGUUGUCAAUUAAUAUGGCCGUGAUAUUCAUUAUUGCUUUUAUUAAAUUAUCAAUCUUUUUACACCAGAAUCGAUCACAUCACCUUAUAUGUGUGACAGAAAUUAGAGUUUAUGUAUGUAACAAAUGCUAUGGAUGACUAGUUCUGUGUGCUUUUGUGUGUACAAGAAAAUGAUAUGGAAACAUAGUCAAUGAUAAAAACUCUACAAAUAUAAGAUAUUAUGUGUGACGAAAAUUUGUUAUCUCAUUCAAUAUCACUCCAUAUAUAGACUUAUGAUUGGACAAAAAAUAUAUAUACAUCGAGGUGAUAUUUUUAUACUCCUAUCCUAUAGUAGAGAAGAUCCCCCCAAUUAUGAUAGCACUAAUCCCACAACAAGAGGAGUUGAUUUUGGAAACUUUGAGAAGAUCAACAGAUAUACACACUUCACAAAGUCAGUACGUAGUAGUAAUACUAACUGAAGCUUAAAUCUAUUUUUUUCCAGCUAAAAGAAAGGCAUGCAUAAGGCCUAAUUAUUAAUCCAUGAAUUAAGAUAAGAUACCAUAGAUGGAAAAUUUACCACGUUUAGUGUGGGUUGACUGCAAAAUUAUGGAAGUAGUGCAACUUUUAUAAAAAUGAUUAGGAAGAUUUAUUUUUUAGAGAACUCAUGAGUCUCAUACUUUACAAGAACUUGUGACUUACAUGUACGAGUUUGCAGGAACUCAUAGCUCACAUGCACGAAUUCCAUUUUUUUUUCUCUCUCAAGUGUCGUGGUUUUCAUCAUCCACGAAUCCCAUGUCCAUUCUUAAAAGUGAGUUUCUGAAAACUCAUACAUAUGAGUUAUGAGUUCCUAUAAAGUUGAAUGUGAGAGUCACGAGUUUUCAAAAAAAAAUAUUACUUUUGUAAUUUUUAUAAAAUAAAAGUUAUACUAUUUCCGUAGUCAACUGGUAAAUUUUCCGCAAUAGAUAGACACAUCCUAACAUCUGCCACGUAAUCAAUGUAUUAUUUACAUUAUUGCAGUUGAGAACAACAAUAUUAUCAUGCUUAUAGAUUCAAUAUUUUGGCCGAAUCUUCAUCUAACCUAACUAUAAUUGACUCAGUGCUACCUACCACACAAAUCAAGGGACCAAGUGAGUAAUGGUUUAAAGCCUAAACGAUGAUGCGAUCUCUACUAUCCAUUUUAUCUCAAUGGAACGCUUCAACUAGCCUCCAAAGUGCUAUGAAAACUUCGAAACACAACAACCCCACACACAAUAUAUCAACUAUCAUCUCUUUAAUAUUGGUGUGAGCCGAACCACUUACAAUUUGACAUUGCUACUACUCGUUAUAAUCGCAAGUACAAAGCAGCAAUGAAAUCUAUUAUUUGCAUCAAAUUGGAUGAAAGAAAAACAGUACUAAAUCCUGUCUCAUUUUAAAAAGAAAAAUUCUAAUAAUAUAAAAUAAGAUAUUAUUGAUUAGAGACAUCGUGACACACUCAUUUUAAAACAUGUUAUCCCUAUUCAUACUAAAAGGCAUAAGGUGGGCCUCUUUUGCAUCUAUAUCUGGGACACAGAUCACCUGUCCCAUUUUCCUGUCCCAGUCCAAUAAAAAAUUGACACUUCAUUAAAAAAGAAAAAUUUAAAACUUAAAGUAACAUAUAUGCAUUACUUUGAAAAAUUCUAUUGGCUUGGGACAUGGGGACACACUAAUUUUAGAACAGGUGAUCCCCAUUCCUAUAUCUGGAAUACAGUACUUAAAAAGAGUAAUGCACAUUGCACACCAACAUUUUACGCCAUUAAAAAUCAAAAUUUAAUGAGAUGUUGCUUCAUUAUUUAGUCUUUCUUGAAUAAAAUCAGUAACCCCAAUAAAAAUCAUAUAUCCCAAAAUAUUUUUGUUUUAAUGUCUCAAGUUAAUCAUAUUUUACUAAAUAAUAUAAAAAAUUAUUUUAUAUUUUUAUAGGAAUAUAUGAUGCUACAUGGAUAUUGGUUAUAGGAAUUUAAAUAACUACGUUUUCUUUUAAGACACUAUAUGCACGUAAAAUUUUCUUUUCUCUAUGUCUCUCACAUUAGUGGUGUGAGAGAAUCAAUGUAUACAUGUCUGGUAAAAAAGUUGAGACUAACUAUUUCAUUUAAAAACCAACUAAAAUAUUUUAAAAAUUCUAAUAAUAUGUCGUAAUUUUAUCUUUAUGGAAAUUUACUUCAAAUUCUUCAUCAUUGUUUGGCGAAUACAAUUUUUGCAACCAGAGACAACCAUCAAGUUACCCUUGUGGGAAAAUACAAUUUUCACCAACGUUUGACAUUAAGAAAAUGAUGGCUAACUGCAAAACAAAGCACCAAUAAAAUAAAAGGCAUAAAGUGGGUCACUUUUGCAUCGAUAUGAGACAUACAGGACUUAAAAAGAGUAAUGCACAACCAACAUUUGACACCAUUUAAAACCAAAUUUCGAUAUGUAAAUGCAUUAUUGAACCAUCAUUCUUUGAAAAUACUAGUGUUUCACAAAUCACAAUGCAACAAAUUAAAGAGUAUACAUUUUAAAACCGACACAAAACUAACUACAACAAAAAAAAUAUGAAAAUGUGAACUAACAUGUGUAUAAAUGUUCAUUGUAUUUUUUUCAUCAUUCUUUGACAAAAUAUUCAACAGUUUCUAAGCCUGUUGAAAAACCUGGUCUAAGGUGGACUAUAAAUAAAACCCAAUUUGUAACCACUACAAAUCAUCUUAAUUCUGCUUUUGCUUAUUAACACUCUUGGUUGUUACUCUUCUUUCUUGAGUUCAAAAAAUGGCCUCUACUCGUUUGUUUUUCUUAGCUUUCUUCAUUGCUCUAUCACUCUUCAACAUUGGCAAUGUCCAAGCCAAUAGAAAACUUUUAGCACCAACAACACCUAGUGGUUUUGGCAACAUUCCUGCGUUGAAAUUUCCUCCUUUCCCUCCAGUUACUGAGUGGCCAGAAUACAGGUUACCUCCACCAAUUUUUAACAUUCCAGAUUUCUCCUCAAUUCCAUCUUUUUUCUCCCCACCAGCUGCUACUACAACUACCAAACCUUGAGGACAAUUUGGUACAUUAAUGUUCCUGGUGGUUACAUGUAGUGUGUUCUAUAGGUUGCAUGCAUAAUGUAUUAGUAGUAAAAUAAAUCGAGGCUCGUGCAUGAGUCUUCUUAUCAUGUUUACUUUCUGUUUGGUUUCCUUAGAUUGAGUGAAUUUGCUGGCAUAGUGUUAGUCAUGGUGAGCCUUGUUAAGCUCAUGCUGUUUCUCUUUGUUUUAUUUGCAUAAUGUUCGGUGUGUGAAUGAAAAAUCUACUUUGUUUCCAAGAUUAUUAGUAAUGACUAAUGAGUGCUCCACAAAGUUGAAAAAAGCUAUGGAACAUUGGACAACAAUGGUGACAGGGUAAUGGUUAACACAAUUGCCAACAUGUCAUUCACCAUUCACAUACUAAUAAUAUACAUGAAAUGAAAUGAGGUUAAAGACUUAAAAGCAUGAAAAUUAUGUGAAAGUACAUAAUAUUAAACUCCAGUGAUAUGAAAUGAAAUAAAGGUUGAAGACUUGAAUGGAUUGGGUAUAGCUGGGAAAAAACAAGACAAAACUAAUAUAGAUAACAAGUGCAGGGAUGGCAAAAAAAACCCGUACCCGUGGGUACCCGCACGGGUACAGGUCAAAAACGGGUACCCGCGGGUAUUAUAAAUGGGUUUUUAAAAAUACCCGUAGUACAUACGGGCGGGUACGGGUAUCGGUACGGGUAUUAUGGUACCCGUACCCGCGGGUACCCGUUAUUUAGAUGAUUAAUAUAUUAUAUUUAAUUAAAAUAAAA